rnacentral:lncRNA from 1 species
UUUAAAAAAGUUGAGAGCCUUUUUGUCCUCAUGUGAAUAGUGAGUGGUGGUACACCUUAUAUCUUGGUUAGGAGGAGAGGAUUAGAUUUUUUUCCCCUUUUUUUGUCUCCUUUUUUAGUGUUCUUUUUUAACUUUUUUUUUUGGGUUUAUUAUCAUUGCAAAUAUAUGAAUUUGUGCACAUGCAUGCCAUCCUAAAGUAUGUAGACAAAAAUUAUGCAAAAUUAGUUUUAAACUAGAGGAGUUCGAUGAUUAGAUAUCUGGUAUAUACGUGGCUAAUUAUGCAUCUCAAGAUAAUAUCAGACCGGUCUAAAACUAAAUCUGCAUGUUUAAUUGUGGCUCGUGAUUCACUAUGAGUCUACAUAUAUGCCAAAUGUCCUAAUCUCAAAUUGCUUUAACUUGAGUCGAUUUUAUAUAAUUUUUAUCAUAAGUAGACUUAGCUGAACAGUACUAUUACGAGAAGUGCUAUCUUAAAAUAUCUUUAAUAAUUUACUUUUAAAGAAAAAAUAGGAGCAUUCAAUUAAAACUUUUAUUUUUUUUAAGCUUUAUACCUUAUUUCUACUUCUACUAUAUCUUUAGCAUUUUUUCAAAAAAAAAUUUCUACUUCUGUUAUUUCUAAAAAUGAAACUAGAAAAUGACCCCAAAAAACCCUUGUUAAUUUGAAUCCAUACUCCUAAAGUUCAAGCUAUUAUUGCUUCCAACAUCAAUUAGCCCUCAAUGGACACCACUACAAAUUCAAUUUGUUUUAUGCAUAGCUGCUGCAUAUGUACCUCAACAUUUUAUUUUUUUUUUGUUUCACUUUUUGGUGUACAAAUGCCAACAAAAACUUAAAAUGUUUCCAAGGACACAAUUCAACAUUCAAAGUUACUCUUCACUAAUUUCCACAUAUUUAUGAUAACAUACAACCUACCGACCGUCCUUAGAGCAAGUGGCAAAGGACUUGGUGGUUGGUACCCGAGACCCAAGUUCGAAUUCUAGUUGAUUCACAUUUCCAACUAAGUUUAUUUCUAAAUGAAAUAAACGAAGCGGAUAGUGUGCUACCUAUCUCUCUCAAAAAAAAAGAUAACAUGCAAACCUUUUUUCAAAAAUAAAAAAUAUAUCAUCUGUAUAUCUAAUCUUACACCUUUGCAUCUAAAAAUUUUUCUAAACAUCUAAAAUUUUCAAUAUUAAAAAAAAUAGUUGAUAUGAGAAAUAAACAGAUCCCUGUCUUUGAGAGGUUAGGAUGUAAAUCUCCAAACUAGAUUUACAGAUAACAUUACUCUUUGAGAAAUAAGUAUGAAAUUGGAAAGCUCCCACUCUUUUGUUGGGAAAUGGUGAAUAAUAUAGUAAGGGAAAGAGGAUAGGAUGGGUUGGUGGAUACAAAAUUGGGGUCAAAAGAUGCCAUUCCUUUCUCCAAGGUUUUUGUUAAGCUCUAUGAUGUUGUUGAUUAUCCUUAAUUUGACUUGUUCCCAACACAUCUCUCUUGGAAUGUUAUAUUGUAGGGUGAUUUUAUAUAUAUAUAUAUAUAUAUAUAUAUAGGGUGUAGGUUGUGUGUGCAUGAAGUGGCCAAUUAUGGGUUACUCAAAAGUUGAUAAAAUAGUGAUAUAUUGAGGGGUUGUUGGGGAUUAUAAUUAGAGUGUUAGACUAAAAUGUAUGUAUUAGACCCUGUACUAUCCAUCUCAACAUAGUAAUAAGUUGGAUUUUGUACUUCUCAUUUAGCAAUUAACCCUAAAUAAUUUAAUUCUUAUAGUUUGUAUAUUAUAUGCAUUUUUCUUUUGGAUCUUGAUUGCUUUAAAAAACCUUUUUUUUUUUCCAUGAAAUGGGCACCUUAUUAUUAUUAUUAUUAAUUUUUUUUACUAAUCAGAAAGUAUAAUGCAGUACGUGUCAAAGUUCACAAACCAAAGUAUGUAUUUAUUUCAGAUUAAUCCUGAGUAGAAUUAAAAAGGUUUUAUACAACAAAAGGGAUCAUUAUUGUUUUUUGAAGUUCAAAUAGCAUAUUAUAAUACACUUAAAAGUUCAGAAACUAUAGUACACACAUAUAAAGUUAGGAAACUAAAGUUACAUUUUCACCAAUCUAAUAAUGUGUCACUACAAAAGUGUAGUUGGGACUUGGGAAUUCAAACUAGAGUUGCAAAUAAAUAAAUAAAUAUAUAAAAGGACAAACAUAUAAAGAGGGGCUAGUGGCCUAUGUGCAUGUAUAAAUAAAUAAAUAAAUAAAUAAAUAAAUAAAUAAAUACAUAUAUAUAUAAUAUGAACACCAAAGAGAUGUUUCCUUCAUUAAUUAAUGAAGUUCAUGUAUAUCCAAAAAGGAUGAUAGUAGGUGCUUAACAUGUCCACUUAAGCUGCAGCAACAACAUAUCUUAUUAUUAUUAUUCUCCAUAUCAUUAUUGGGAAUUGGUAUUGACAUGUUAGCUAGGUUUGUUGUUCACAAAAUGUACAAUGUAAACUUUGCCAUUAUUUUUUUUUAAAAAUUUUUUAGUAAAGAUAAAAUCGUACAAAUUUAUCUGAAUUAUAAAAUAAUUUGAAUUAGAAAUCUAUUUUUUUUUAAAAAAAAAAUUGAUUUUAAUGGGUCAAUGAAACUUUGACUUCAAAUUUUGAAUUCGUUACUAAUCCUUAUAGAUUUAGUUAGUAUAUUCAUAUAGUUCUCGUAACUAUAAAUUUAUUAAAAUAAGUAAUUAGUUUAAAUUUUGAAGUUGAAGUAUUAUUGACUGAUUCAAAUCAAAUAAUUUGAAAGGUUGGAUACUUAAUUCAAAAUGAUUGAUAGUUUAGAUAAAUACUCUACAUUUUUACCUUUUAAUAAUAACAAAAGAUUAGUGCUAUGCCUAUAAAUAUCUUGGGACUGUUUGCAAAUUUGGAGCAAAAAAAAUGGUAUGUAUUAAAGUCAAAGAAUCUAAAAAGGAAAUGGGUUGGAUUUUAUCAAUCUAAUUCGAUUUCCAACUUUGCCUUUUGCUUUAUUUUAUUUCAAAUUUGCCUAUCUAUCCUCUUUUUUUUUUGAUUAUGUAAUGUAGAAUAAUUUUCUAAAUAAUUUUACUUUACUGAUGUUUACUCUUAUUAAUUUGUAUACGUUCAUCCGUAUACAUCUAUGAGCACAUUUGGUUCAAGCCAUGCAAUAUUUUUACGAUAAUUUGAAUAUUAUUAUGAAAUUGGUUUAUGUAAAUUAGAUAACUACUAAUGUUUCAUUACUGUUUUGUAUUUAGUACAGUAAUAUAAUAUUGAAUUACUAUGCAUGUUAAAUUAUUAUGUAUGAUUUGUGUUAUAGAUCUUAAUAAUUUAGAUCACAAUAAAAUAUAUACUAUUCCAAGUUGUGGCUGAACUUGACUGGGAAACAAGAGAGAGAGAGAGAGAGAGAGAGAGAGAGAGAGAGAGAGAGAGAGAGAGAGAAAUACUAUAAAACCCUGUACUGGAGAGAGAGAGAAGGAUAGAGCUCUUUUAUGAUUGAAAUGAAGAGGUGAGAUAAAAGUAUGGGGGCUAAGUUUAUAAUUUUUCAUAUAUUGUAUGAUAACUCACAAUCAGUAAUACAAAGUAUGCACGCAUGCAUUAUUAGUGUUUUUUUUUUUUUUUGAGAAAUAGGUAGCAAGCUAUCUGCUUUAUUCAUUAAGUCGAAUGAACUUAGCGUACAAGUUGGAAACAGUUUAGACCUCCGAGAAACCGACAAAAAAGUAAAAAUUAAAAAGCAAAAAGAAAAGAUAAGGUAGCAAAAAAAAGAGAAACAGAAAAAAGAGGUACAAGAGAGACAUCAGAGCAUUGUGGUCUAAUUAAAUAUAAUAAUUUCAAAAAAAAAUUACAUAGGUUUUAAUAAUCUUGAUAGGAUAACACGAACCAGAUUCUCCUUAUCGAUUAUAAUGUUUUACCUUUAUCUAGAUCCAUACCUCCAAAUUUUUUCCAAUAAUAUUUUACUUAAUAUUCAAAUUACCUUUGUGAGAGAGGAGAAGGGACCCUACAUUUGUGAGCUCUAGGUAUUGAUAAUAAAAAUAACAAUAACAAUAGUUACCCUUAUUAUUAAUAUUAAUGCUGUUCACUAUUAUUAGUAGUAAAAUGCUGUGUCGUAGAGACAUAGUCUACGAGGAGCUAAGGGGCACUGUGCUACUACUGGGUCAAUGUGCAAGAUGGUCCAUACAUAAAAAAAAAGAAGGAAAUAUUAGUUUAUAACCAAGCACGAAAUCCGAGGCAAUUGCCCUAAAAAAGCACAAAAUUUAGGAUGGUGGUAUUCCAAAUUGAGAAUUUUUGAGGCAGUGAUGCGAGAAAAUGCUCAGACUGACAUAUAAAUAAAAAAAAAAUGUCUUUUCUAGCAGAUGCUCAAUCAAGCUGGUACAAAAUAAAAGUAUUGUUUGUUAUUGGUACCUCCAAACCUGCAUGUGCAGACUCUUAUUGAGGAUUAACAACUGUACUACAUAUUUCUAACUAAGUUUAUUUUUAAAUGAAAUAAUCAAAGCGAGUAGUGUGCUACCUAUCUCUUAAAAAAAAAAAAAAAACAACUGUACUACAUAUUUCUAACUAAGUUUAUUUUUAAAUGAAAUAAUCAAAGCGAGUAGUGUGCUACCUAUCUCUUAAAAAAAAAAAAAAAACAACUGUACUACAUAUUUGUAUCCAAAUAUGGAAUUUAAUUUAAUAUGCCUAAAUUUAAUUGCUACAAUUCAAACUACACAAGAAGGUUCAGUUGCAAUAGAUUGAUGACAAUUACAGCAAUUGAAGAGAGGAGAUAAACUUACCACACAAAUCACCUCAUCAAGUGAUUCAAGCCCCGCAAUUUUAACUUGCAAGAAAAGAAAAAAAGAGAACAAAAAAUCAAGCCAAUAUGGCUAACUGCAUGCAAAUAUAUGCAUGUCAUAUUUAAUAAUGAAAAAUUAGUCUAAAAAAUGAACUAACAAAUUAUAAAAUGAUCUUGAAUUCAAAUUGUGUAGCUGCAACAUGUACCAGAUCAGCCAUUCAACUUGAGCAUAAUCGUCGAUUCGCUACUCUUUACAACUAUAAAGGACCAUUUGCGAAUAAUAUAGAGAUAUUUUACACGGUACAUCCUUACGAAAACCUCAAGAUCUUUCAAACUGUAUAAACUUCAUCGACAAUUAGGACAAUUUCAUAAAGGACCAUCCUCUUUCAAUCCUUAAAUGAGAUUAGUUCAGUUUCAGGGACUGAGAACAAUGCAAGAAAUUAACAGCUCACCUUGUUUUCACCAAAAAACCUUGUUUCCGACUUUUAAGACAAUUAUAUACUCCUAAACAUGCUGUAAGCUUUAUUUUUUCCAAGUGAAACUCAUCAACUGACAUUGCCAGAUAAGCUCACUAUGUGAGAAAUCAGAUCCUCAAGGCUUGAAAUUUGGCUAGAGAAUUCAUUCUGCAGUUCAGAAGGCUCAGCUUGAACAAGAGCAUUGCGCAUAACCUUUAGACCACUCUGCAACAGCACCACUCCUUCACAAAUUCCAUCUGGAACCUUCCUCUUUUUCUUCUUCAGAUUAGACUCCUCACAAAUUUCCAUCUUUUCAGUUCCAGUAAUCUGCGAGAUGGUAUUGAUUUGCUUUACUAGUCUCUUCAGCUCCGCCCCUUCCUUAAUUAGAAAAUCCAGUUGCUCUCUGGAUAAAUUUAAAUCAUUCAAAGCAACUUCCUUUUCAAGAAAUACUCUUAAUUCAGACAUAAAUCUAUUCUCAUCUGAGUUCAUUCCCAUGUCCAUAUCAUAAGAGAGAGCAGCAUCAUCAGGAACAAAUCGCCAAAGUUGGGUGCAAGAAGUGCGGGCCGCAAAAUACCCAAAAGAAUUAAUUGCUAAAUGAAUAAGAGCCCAGUGCCUUUCUCUUAGUAACAAAUGGUACAAGUCCCAUAUUGCAGAACAAAGCAUGUCACCUUCGCUUUCAGUAAUUUCCACAUGGCUGAGGCCGGCCAUAAAAGAAGCUAGAGAAGGUUUGCAUUGAUGCAACAAAGAGUUUGAAUUGGGAGAGUCUUUCACAAAAAGGGCAUGCAAAUCCAAUAUUAGAUUCUCCAUUUCAUUAGAAUUGUAAAGAUGCUUCAUGUUUGAGAUGAUAUCUAGUGUUGAAGAGAGAAUUUUUGCGAGCUGGUCCUUCAUGCUAUCGGUCGAAGAUUUGUAGCAAUGAAUGAGACAAUGUGUGAAUUUGAAGAUCCUAUAGAUGCUCUUGUCAUCAACAAUAUCAGAAUCCUUUAAAUGGCUGCCAACAAGAGAAACAGAAAAUUAAAGAUUUAGUAACAAUUAAGCAUCUAACAAAGCUUUGUAGCUCUUACAAUGUUAAAGUUAUGACAAAUGACUUGCUUACCAAUAAUUCAAUGCGGAAGCUAGAUAAUGCACAGGAAGCCCAAUUAAACAAGAAUCGAAAGAUCCUGGAAAACCAUUUGAACCGGAGUCCUCAGAGUAGUUCUCCAAAAAAUCAUUAAAUGCAGUGAGAAGCUUUCUAAUUGCAAGCAUCUUUACUUUACCAGAUAAUGAAUCAAAUGGAAAUCCCUCCUUUAAUAAAGCGAAGUAUGUGAUAGAAGACGCAUGAGAUUUAUUGUCACUUAGAAUGGAAGCGUAAACAUGGUCUACAGUGGCAGGAGGGGCAUAAUUAAGAAUAGUACAUAAUAGGUGUGCGAUCUUCCUCAGAGCACUAAGGGGUGUAAGAGCCUGUUCUGAUGAAGCUACAAUGUUCAACACUAAAAGCAAUUUCUCAACAAAGUGAUUCACUGUACCCAUUUCCGCAUGACGAAUGAAGAAGCACCAUAGUUCUGUUAUAAUCUCUGUAGGGAGAAAAUGGGGGUGGAAAAGAUUUUGGAGUAAGGAGGUCUCCACCUCAAUCAAAGCAUCAUGAAAAGAAGCUGCAAUUAUCAUGAAAGUUUUUAGGGCUUGUAUGAGAAAAGUAUAAAUGAGUUGCCAAGCAAUUUCAGGAGUUGGCCCAGAGGAGCACAAAGCAGGUAUUUGCAGUCCUAGAACGCAUGAAUAAACAUACUCGUCGGUCAGAAUAGUAAAAAGAAAUUCUAGCUUUCUGGAUAAGCCGAAUAUGACUUCUUCUUUUAGAACUUGAGAGUUCUUGAGAAGAUUAAGAAAAAGAAGAAACCGACCAGGCAAAAGACCUCCAGUUUUUGAGAUAGCAUUGGAAUCCAAACUGAAAAUACUAUCUAUAGGACCUUUCUCUAAAGCAUUAUUUUCUUCCACAUGAGCUGAGUCAGAUUCUUCAUUUUUAAAUGACCAUUCCAAAAUCUGGAAAAUGGACUCAGGAUUUCCUUCAGAUGAAUUUAGCAGUGUGUACAGAAAAAGAAGUGAUGAAGGCUCUAGGAGUUCUACGAGUGCCUCACUAGCACUUCUUAGUUGGGUUUCCUUGCUGAAUUCGAUGACUAAAGAUGAGAUUAUCAAUGCACACCGAGCAAUUUCCCUGUAUAUAUUCAUGGCUUGCGAUGGGUACUCUGAAGAAAUCCUUACAGCAUUUAUCAGAAAAAACUUUAUUGGGAGAAAUGUCCUUUUGGCUUCAGAAAUAGUUAGAGGUUCUUGCAAUGUGGUAGACCAUGCUUUAGAAGCAGAUCGCAGGGAUUCAACAGCCAGUGAAACUAGGGUUGAUAUGAUACCUGCCACAUUUACUUCUGUUAACACUCCUUUAACAAGCUGCAACAAGGAAACAAGACCUUUCCAUGAUAAAUUAAGUAGUGUCACCCAGCUUCCUCCUCCAGAUGCAGCAAAGAUUCCCAAAUCAUACAAAUUUUCAAUGGUGCAUGAUGUAAUUUUAAUGACAUGAGCAGCAAGAUCCAUGUCUUUGUCAUCAUUAGUUCUUUUUUUGUCCAUACUCUGGUGAUCUAAUUGGGUGACCUGAGAAUAAGCUCUGCACAACUUUAUUGCCGAAUCCAGAACAAGUUGUGCCACCUUAAGAACUUCAGAAGCAACUGGAUGAAUUUUCUGUGCCACAAAUAAAUACAUUAAGGUCCUUAAAACUGAAAAGAUUAUUCUAAGUGGUCUUAGUAGAAUAAUGGCAUGUUUAUUUUGGCUUUCUUGUUGUCAUCCAUCCUGAUAAAUUUUGUGCCUGCUCAACUGAGAUAGCUAGUUAUUGACUCUGAACAGAACCAUCAUUUUGAUGCUAUAGAUUUCGACAGAUGGGCUCAAUGAAAUAGCAAGUAUAAUGGCAUUGAAGUUAAUAAAAGAUGUUCCAUCAACAACACAAAGUACUGUGCGGAAAAUGUGUAGUGAAACUUUUAAAUAGCUAAGCCAAAAAGUAUGGAAUAUUUAUAACGCUCAACACAACUGAAAACAAAGUAUAAUGAUCUAUUGUAAGUUUAUGAACUGCUCAUCAAUUGUAGAGAGCCUAAUGAGAGAAUGACAGCAGAAGCUGAAAGGAAAAAAUAACAACAUCUAUUAACUAGAUUUGUAAUGGUACCUUAGACUCCAUUAUUGAAGCCCUUGUCAGUUUUAAUGACUCCGAGAUGAAGUUUUGAAUUAUAAGCAUCAUCUCAUCCUUCUUUAAAACAAGAGAGCUUGUCAAAACAGAAAUAAGAGUUGAAGAAAAACGCAAGGCAUCAAAAAUAAUCUGCAAAAGUAUAAAGUCAAUUAGAAAAUUAAUUUAAUCUCUAGUGCCUUAGUGUGUUACAGAAGAAGGAAUGUAAACUGCAUUUGAAUAAUUACUAAGCCACCUGAGAAAGUAGAUAUGGAUGAUUUUCAUCUUCAGAUUCGUCAUCUGAUCCAACUGUUUCUUGGAGAUGCUUUACACACCACAAGCUUGCCUAACACAAGAUUAUCAGCAUGUAGUGUUUUCUUUACCCACAAAGCUUCAAAAGGCAAUCAUAUGUAUUCAAGGAAUAAUACAUGCACUAGAUUUUCAAUACAUGAAAGAAGUACAAUUACCUUUGUUCCAAGAAUUAGAAAUUGAUUAAGUGAAAUGGACAAAUCUGAUUCAAAGCAUUUUGCAGCAAUUUGAAGAAUUUUGUUGUGUAACAUGCAGUGUGACGUACCAGAACAUGUGGAAUCGUCCCAAAAUAUCUAAACUCUUAUUAAGUUAACCAAGAUGUCGAUAGAUAAUAAUCAUAUAUACAAGAGAUCUCUUUAAUUAUUCACUUCAAUUCAUGUCCCAAAAGGAGAAGUAGAAAAGCAAAGCAAAUAAAGGUACAAUGACUAUCAUCUUACAACAAUUCAUAGAAAGUAUUGAGGGUAUCCAUCGCAUUUCAUUGCAUAUAACACUCCAUCAAAGAAAUUUUUGCAAAGGAUACAACAAGAUAUUCGGCUAAAAUGACCAUAUCAACCGUUGCAUAUUGAAAUGAAUCUUCAAGUUGGGUGAUAAGUGAAACUCGAGUCUCCAAAACCUGUGAUAACAAAAAAACAGGGAUCCUGCAAUUAUAACUCAAAAACCAUGGCUUCAAAAUUCAAAUGCAUAUACCAUAAUGUGAGACUGAAAAAUGCUGCUUCAAGAUAACAUCAAAAGGUCAAGAUAAUUAAAGACUAAAAGAUUACUAAAUGUAGUAAUUUGUUAGACUGUAAAGGGAAAAUGAAGCCCUUAUAAUGUAUAUUGUUAUUAAGAACUCCUUUCUAGUGCAUAAUCUUACUUCGGUAAUUCGUUAUCUCAAUUGUGGGGAUGUCUUAAAGUCCAUUAAUAUCCUCUCAUGAUUGAAAUUCCAUUCAAAUACAACAAGGUCAUCAAGGAUUAUAAGCUCUAUUUCAUAAACAAUAUAUAAGGAGUCAUGCUAUGUGGAGCAAGAAAUUGUCGCACAAGUUACAGAUUCUUGCAUAAUGUACCUAAUUUUUCGUGGUAGACUUUUUGCUAACUACUUUUUCUGUCUCUUUUUUGACUCAAUUUUGUGAGUAUGAAGAAGAUUGUCUAAAUUGUCACCUUUGAAUCUGUAAAAGAAAGAAAACCAUGGAGGCUGUGGUGUCAUGUAAAUGGCUCUCUCCACAUCCAUAAAAAAGGUCAGACAAUAGAAUUUGGGUCUUUGGGAGAAAAUUAUAGGCAGGGAUAUUAUUACAUUAGCAAAACCCCAUCUAUCUUUCUAUAUCUGUAUUUCCUUCUUAACGUUAUUUCGCAUGGUAAAGUACUUCGAUGAGUGAUAAAAUUCCAAGCAUUGAGAAUCCGAUACUGAAAAUUAUAUUGAGCAUCCAACAACGGAAGCAAGCUUUAAACAUUAAAGUCCAGCAAACCCAUCUCACUUUAAGAAACUGUUGGGACCAAGCCAAGCAUAAGUUACUGCACUAUAAUCACUGCACAAAUGCCAUUGGCCCAUUGAACUAGUAACGGAUCCUUCUGUUGGAAUAAAUAUUCUCUUUCUAAAAUCUUUAGUAAAAUAUUUUUAUAAUCAAUUUUAAAUGAAAACUAUUCUACUUCUGCUUUUAAAAAUCUUAAUAAAAAUUAAAUAAUUAAUGCAAUAGAGAUUAAGAGAUCAGAUGAAGCCUGUGAGUCGAGGCGUGCGAAUGCACUGUCCUAGAAGCAAGAUUGCCCCUCCACGUACGAGGCUCCGGCAAUCACUCCUAGCGAUACAACGACCACUGUCCACCCCGUCGGCACGUCUCCAGGGUGGCGCAACACGAACCCAAUAAGCUUUCAGAGAUCUAGCAAAAUAGUAAAGUUCAGUGUAGACUAUAUGAACAUAUAUCUAUAUAUAUUGUAUUUAAUGUAGAAGAAGAUUAGAGAGGAUUAGAGGAAAAACAAAGAGGUGCUCUCGGGUUAUGCUCACAGCCCAUCUGCCCAAAUGCACCAUAACUCUCUUUAUAUAGGAGAGCUUGCAACGGAAAGAGUCAAGGCAAGAUCCUUGAUUAGGAUCUUGCCAUUUCCCAAGGGUUGACUAGGAUAGCCCAGCCCCUUCCCGAGGCUUGUAUCAAAUCAAGAGAGAUCUGAUCAAGAUCUCUCUUGGACCAAAUGGACCAAAUCUGGAUAUAAUCCAGAUUAGAUUUAUAGGGUUAAUUAAUAUAUAAUAAUAAUAAUAAUAAUAAUAAUAAUAAUAUUAAAAUCAAGUUUUAAAUCAUAGUUUUAAAUAAUUAAAACUAACACCUUCUAUAUGCUCUUUCAUAUGUUGCAUUAUUUACUAAAGCCCGCGAAUCUCUUCCACCUCCACUAUUACAUAAUCCAAUCCCUGCAACGGGUGUUUGUUAGGCCAUGCUUCUGCUUCUACUUUCAGAUAGCAACAACUCUACUAGAGCAUAAAACCCUAACCUCAACUCAAAUGCAGAAGCCCUAAUUUGUUGCUUUUGAUUCUACUGAAGAAGCAAGUUGUUAAGGGUAUCUUAAAUAGCGCUUCUCCUACUAGCGCUUCAGAGGGCCCAUUUGGCUGAGCUGUAAGUUUUAGCGCAUCGUGAUGAAGUGCUAGCAGUCCAAUUAAGAGAAGCACUAUAUCAAUACACUCUCAAUAACUUAUUUUCACAGUAGAAUCAGAAGCACUAAAUUAUAGCUUCUGCUUCCCUGCAGUAUAAUUCAGAAGCACCGAAUUGGAAUUUCCGCUUUGCAGGCCCAAAAUCUCAAUUCUGCUUCGCUCUGCAGCAUUUUAGAGAUUACUGUUACUGCGAGCAGAAUCAAAAUUAAGUUCAAACAGGCUCUACACACUACAGCAAGGUCAAACAAGCCCUAAACACAGCUCUAGAGAAGCAACAUCUCAAAUUACUCCCAAAUAUGGCGUGCCCUACCACACGUCAACUCCAACGUAGUCCCCAAAUUGAAUCCAUCCAAUAUCCGUGGUAAUUAAUAGAGUAAUAAGCUAAUAACCAUCGACAAAACAAGUAACAAUCAAGUAUUCGCCAUGAUUCUGCAUCGUUGACACAAAGAAACGCGCUAAAUCGAUCGAAACUGGGGUAACUAAUCAAGUUUAAACUGCGUAAUCAUCAUGACGAUCGAAUUAAAAAGGGUUUGUGCAUCAAAUCCUAAGAGAGAGAGAGAGAGAGAGAGAGAAGGGGCAAAAGGGAGCUCACAUCGGAUGCUUUGAUGGCUUCGAGAAGGUUCUGGAUCUCGUUCCUCUUCGCUUCCCCCUCCAUUCUCUCUCUCUCUCUCUUUCUCUCUGUUCCCGCCCUUGUAGCCCCGCCCAAAUGACGCAGAGCCUAUUUGAGAAGGUAAAAUUGCAUAUGCCCCCUUCAAAUGUAGUCUAUUUUGAAAAAACUCUUGCAGUCUACUGUGACCAACUUGCAAUAUCGGGACAAUACAAGGGGCUGUCCCUAGAUUUUACUUUCUUUUUUUUUUUUUCUGAUGCAAACCUGGUGGAUUAUUUCUUGUCAGAUCGGGGCGUAUUCAGAACUGAUUAGUUUAACUCAUUUUUUGGUCUCCACUAAUUACUUUUCAUCCGGGUGAAUCAGUGCGAGAACAAAUUUUUGGCGAGUCGAGAUAGAUCAAAUGAACUAAAAAAUUUUCACAUUUACUUAGCUGAUCCCCCUCUUGAAUCUAGUUAUGUUUUUUUUUAAAUUUUACGCUGAUAAAUUUUAAUUGUUUUAAGUAGAUUUUGCAGUUAAUUAAGUUAAAAUUUUUGUUAAGUUUAAUACUUCUAUUAGCUCUUAACUGUUGACGAAUUUUAUUUACUAUAAAAUUAUUAAAUUCGAUUAAAUUGCCUUGAUCAAUUUUUUUAAUAUGCUUGAUUAAAAUUACUCAAUUUUGAAAAAUAAGAUAUUUUUUUUAAAAAAAAAUCAGUAAUGCAAAUGCUCAAUUAUUCUUCAGGUAAAAUAAAUGGAUGGUCCCUGUACUAUCCUCAUAUGUUAGUUUACUCGCUGCAAUUCCGAUUUAGAGAAUGCUAAGUCUACAACCCUUGUAUUAUUGUGGAGUUAUUUUGAUGUGUAGAAACUCAAAUGCUAAAUUAAAACUACAAUGACCAAAUUGCGACAUUGAAAUAGUAAAGGACCAUUCUUACAUUUUUACCCCCUUUUUUUUUUUUUUUCCUUUUCUCAUAUUUUCUUUUCUUCUGGGGCCUUUUUGGUGUGUUUGUGUUGUGUUAAGUGGCCCAAAAUACAAGUGUAGCCCAAAAAUAAUUUUAGGGUUUGGCCCGAAUUAAUUUCAUAUGUUCUUGAACCCUUUGUUAAUUUUCAUUUUAUUUCUCAAUCUUUAAAUUUAAAAUUUAUGCAGUUAAAAAAAGAUAGACGGCGAAAACUUACAAACUGUAUAGCCAACAUAUCCAAGAAUAAGAUGAGAAUGCUUUUUUUCACUAGCUUUCUUAGAUCGUCUUUACUUUUGCUGCUUCUAAAUCUUUCACGACUGUAGUUUGAAUUCAAAUCUAUUUGAAUUCAACCUUAUCCACUCACCACUCCACUCAAUCUUAUUGGAACGUAAGCUUCGGGAGUUCGACAUGUGUGGAAAGAGAGGGGUAGGGGAAACGGGAAUAGGAAGAGGGGGAAAAGGGAAAUGGCAAAGAGGGAAGGCGAAAGGGCAAAAUCUUCAGGAAAUCGACACGUAUGCCGAUCAAAACUCCCGAUUCAUUCCUUUUUUUUAUAGAUUUAUAGAUAUCCUGUAUUUUGAAUUCAACCUCAUCCACGCACCACUCCGUUCAACCUUAUUCAGAACAUAUUAAGUCGACCUCGAUGCUAACAAACCAUAUCAAAUUGCACCCAAUCUGAUUAGGUUUAACCGACUCCAACGUGAACACACCGCAUGACAUCAUAUACCUAUAUGAUCGAUCUUUUCGGUAAUAUAGUUUGAUUAUUCACGAAUCAUUGUCCGAUAUGAUUGAUUUUUUAGAUGCUAUGGUAUUAGAGUUCGUCUCACGUUUCUCUUCAUUCUAAGGUUCAAUUUAUACUUCAUACAAAUUCAUCUGAUUUCUACAGUUGGGUUGUACAUAUUGUGGAUUAAAAAAAAAAAAGAUAUAUAUAUAGUAACAAUUAGAUUUUAAUCAUAAAACAGGGUGGAUAAUAUAUUUUAUUUGUGUAUCUAAAACUCAAUCUGCUCAAACUUUACCAAGUAAACCGCACCAAGAUAUUGUUGAUAUAUAUAUAUAUAUAUAUAUAUAGAAUAAGGUUGGAAUACUAUUAAUAGCACCAAUGACUUUGGUGCUAUUAACUUUUCUGCCCUUGGAUUAAAAAAUGUACGAUUAGGAUGAUGUGGCCCCCUAAGGUUGAUUGGGUGGUUGGUUGAAUAGUAUAAUCGAACGGAUGAAAAUGAUAAAAGAGGUAAAUCUAAUGGCAGAAAACUUGAUAGCACCAAAUGCUUCAUGCUAUCGAUAGUAUCUCAGCCGGACUCUCUCUCUCUCUCUCUCUCUCUCUCUAAUAAUAUAUAUAUAUAUUCGGCUACUAUACAUUUAUGAGUACGAUCACGUCUCGUACUCAUAAAUUAUUUUUGAUGAUAGAGCUUCCGAAUCGACGAUUUACACUAAAUUAAACGUAUCUAGAGGCAUUUUAAAACGUUUAGAAAUCAAAUUUUAUAAUUUUUCAAACAUCAUUAUUUACCUUACGAUCAAAAGAUCACAAAAUUGACAAUUUUUAACGGCCGGUAUGGUAUAUUUGCUAGUUUAACGGUGUAAAGAAUCAAAAUUGGUUGAACUUUUGAUAGAAAAUUCUAUUCAUUACAUAGAUAAAGAUCAAUAACUCCGAUCUUAAAUUGAAGGAUCCAAUCAUCUAUUUUUAAACGUCAUUCGAUUUGACCGUUCAUUUUAUAUCUGCUUGAUGAACUUUAUUAUGAUUUUGAAAAAUACGAAUUAAAUUUUGAAAAUUCUCAAAUACUCUAGAUCUUAUUUAACGGAGUGGAUCGUCGAUUUGGAAGCACAAUCAUUGAAAAAAAUUAUGAGUAUUAAGAGCUUUAUACGUAUAGUAAGCCCUAGCUAAUAUAUAUAUAUAUAAUUAUAUUUAUAUAUAUAUAUAGAGAGAGAGAGAGAGAGAGAGAGAGAGAGAGAGAGAGAGAGAGAGAGAGAGAGAGAGAGAGAGUCCGGCUACUGUACUUCUAUGAGUAUAGAGCCUCUUGUACUCAUAAGUUUUUUGUCGUUUGAUCUACCUUUUAAUCAUUUUCACCCGUUAGAUUAUAUUAUCCAACUAACCACCCACUCAACCCUAGGGGGUCUAGUAUCAACCUAACCGUAACCACUCUCAUCCUAACCGCAUAUUUUUUUAUCCGAACGGUCGAAAAGUUAUAAGUACAAAGAACUCUAUACUCAUAUGAGUAUAGUAGCCCCAGCCAAUAUAGAGUCCGGCUACUAUGCUAUCGAUAGCACGGAGCGCUCCGUGCUAUCAAGUUGUUUUCGAUGAUGCGGCUUCCAAAUCGACGAUCGGCUCCGUUAGACUUGAUCUACACUAUUAAAAGUAUUUGGAAACUAAAUUUCAUAAUUUUUCGACAUCAUUUGACUAGUGAUCAAAAGAUCUCAAAAUUGACAAUUUUAAUGGCCGAUGUGGUGUGUUUGUGAGUUUAACGGUGUAAAACAAUCCAAAUGCGAUGAAAAUUUUAUAGAAAAUUCUUUUCACUAUUUAGAGUAAGAUCAGUAUAUCUGAUCUUGAAUUUAAAUCUUUUAUCAUCAUUUUUUAUGAGAUUUUUAUUUUCAGCCGUUCAAUUUUAGACUACUUGUUUGAUAGGUAAAUGAUAUCGAAAAAUUAUGAAAUUUAGUUUCUAAAUACUUUCAAUAGUGUAGAUCAAGUCUAACGGAGCCGAUCGUCGAUUUGGAAGCCGCAUCAUCGAAAAUAACUUGGUAGCACGGAGCGCUCCGUGCUACCGAUAGUAUAGUAGCCUAGUUCUAUAUAUAUAUAUAUAUAUAUAUACACUACUCACAAUUUUACUACAACUACCGACAUUUUCUAAAGCAAGUGGCAAAGGGCUUGGUGAUUGGUCUCCGAGAUCCAAGUUCGAAUCCUAGUUGAUUCACAUUUCUAGUUAAGUUUAUUUCUGAAUAAAAUAAAUGAAGCGUGUAGCGUGUUACCUAUCUCUCAAAAAAAAUUUUACUACAACUUAACAUAGCUCAUACGCUUCGAUGAUCAGAUCUUUUUCUGAACCUCGUGAAUAUAAUUACACGACUCAUUAGUUCAUGCGUAACAGGCGUAGCAUAACUCUCAAUAAUAAUAACGUUUGCUACUCAAAAUUAUUAAAUGAUAAAAAUAUAAGGUUAUGCUUUUCGUGUCCUUUAAUUUGUACUUGUAGACCCAACUAUGAAGGCACGAUGAGUUAAACAACAUUAUAUAUGUCACACUUAUCGAUUGUGUAAUAUUUUACUUAUAUGUUUUUUCUAUGAAUACGAAUGCAAUGGAAUUAUAACUAGUUAUUAGAAAAAUCCCCUCUUAUGGAAUAAGAGACAAGUAUAUAUAUUUUUUUUAUAAAAAGAAAGAAAAAAGGAAAAAUUAAGAGAGUGGUAUAUUGGCGUUGACUUUGACGUGUGAAAAUUAUUAGGUUACAAUUAUAAUUAUAAUUAAUUAAUUAAUUAAUCACCGACGUGGCGUGCACUAAAUGGAAGUUGCAAAGAAGGAUCUGGAAAUGGACACGCGGCGGAGCGCCAUUGGCCGCAUGCUGCGCGACAUUUAAAGAACACGUGGCGUGACGUAAUGCGCUCACCGGGCCGAGAGCAACGCCAACCUGAUUUCCUGUUCACGCGGGAACCGUUUUUUUUUUUUUUUUGGCUAUUUGUNGUAUUUGUGAGUUUUAUGUGCGCAUUAUAAUUAAAAUAAAAUAUGGCUCAAUAUUUUAGGGUUUAUCAUGUGUUGAAUUUUCUUAUUUUAUUUUAUUUUAUUUUGUUUUUUAAAACAUUUUUUUCCUUAAUUUCUUAUCUGUUUACAAUUAGGCUGUACUGUGCCGAAAAUAAUAUUACUAUAUUUUAAGCUAAUUAAUCAGUUUGUAUUUUUUUUUUCUCGUCAUCAUAUGUAAUUAUGGCAUGUCGACAGAAUAAUCAUUUAGUAACCAAAAUAAUAUCACAAUUUCAAGUUAAUUAAUCAGCGAUAACUUUUUUUUAUUACUGUCAUACAUAACUAUAUAGUGACGAUAAAUUAAUUUCAUCGCCACCUUAUUUCUUUUGUUAAUACUAUUUUUUUUUUUUAAUGAUCAUAAUGCUCAUUCUACAAGCAAUGUUCAAAUAUAAUGUCAUCAAGCAACACUAUCCAUAUUCCAUAGUUGCAAUGUUGUGAAACAUAAGGCCUUGCUUGAUUUUAGUAACAAUUAUAGUGUUUGAUUAAAAAAGAAAUAAGAAAUUAGAGCUUUUGCUACAGCAAAAAACAAAAAUAAAGUUCGACGUAGUAUAUCAAAUUUAGUACUUCUGAUUCUGAUGUACAAAUAAGCUAUUAAAGAUAUUCUUGCAGUGGUUUUGGAGUUUUGUAACAUCAAAUCAUAAGCUAGUUGAAAGGUUCGAACAAUCCAAGAUAUAUUUUGAGAUUAUUUUGUUUAUAUAUUCAAAUGUGAUUUGAUUUUUUAAAAAUUUUGAAUCUUAAGAACUACUGCACCAAUCCUGAUUUUAGGUUACUAAUCAUUCUGUUUGGUUGAACAUCAUCAAUCAAAGUUGAGUAAAAGAAUUGUUACAAACAUAAAAUAAAUAAUAUACAUUGAAAAACAAGAGGUUAAUUAAGAAGAGACGACUCCGCGAUAAAGAUGUUUAAGCUGAAGUGCAGGUGACUAAAAUUAGAAUAUUACUGCAUCAUGAUACUUCAAAUUAUUGAAAUUAAUCACUGAGAUUAGCUUCAUGUCACACUUAAGUGUAUUUUAAUCUUAGGCAUAAUAUAUUGGUCUAUUUAUUAAAGUUUGUUUUGUUUUUAUGCCAACACCCACACCUAUAUCCUUUUUUUGUGCUUAAUAAGUAAUUACAAUUUGAGUGCAUAAGUGCUUGCCUUUUUAGUUAUAACAUAUAUCCUUAUUCAAGAAAUAAAAUUUUUGCUAAAGAAAAAAAAAGUUUAAAAGCUACAAACUAAAUAAAUCUUUAAAUUUUUAAAAAUAUGUAAUUUUGGAACAACUCUAUUUUAAUAGCACUUGUCAUAAUUAGGGUUUGAUUGGUCCAAAUGGCUCUGAACUAGCGCAUUCCUCUUGAUUAAUUAAAAGCAUAAUAUUCAUCUAAUCAUCAUCAUUCAAAAUAAUCAUCAUACUCCAAUAAAUUAUGUUCUAAAUGAAAAAUUACUCACAUGCAUUUUUUACCCAUUCACAAUCAUCUCCCUUCCUUUUUGUUUUGGUUAGUUGCUUUUUGAUGUUGUUAGAACGAUUCUUAAAUUUCAGUCUGGAUCUUAGUUGGCUUAAAAAUGCCAGUAUCCUGUAUGGCGAGAGGUCAGAUUAAAUCGAGUCAUAAUUAAGAUCUGUGGACGCUGUGUCUACACACUUUAAAAUGAAUUGGUUGCAUCUUUCUAACAGCAUUAGUAUUUGAAAUUAAUGGUUAGCACCGACGAUUCGACAAUCUCUGUUAGACGAUAAAUUUUGGCCGCGGGAUUAAUGGAGCGGCAGAUGAUCUCGACAAUUUGGUAAUUGACAAGAGAUAAUCAUUAAGUUUUAGGAUUGAGCCAAAAUUAUUGGGAUUCAAUUUUGAAAUGAGAUUCGGGCUUGUCAGGAAAGUCGGAUUCUGAUUCGAACUGCAGGGGUUAUAAAUACCAUGCAAGCAAGCAGAGAAAGGCCCUCUAUUUAACAAAAACAACAGCAACAAUACAUCACAUAUUUGGACGAUUUAACUGCAGGAGCAGUUUGGAUAUUUUCGGUAGUUUUCGCAGCAUAUUUAGUAGCUUCACCAAUCGUGCAUCUUCCAAAUAUUUCAGUCAUGUAGGCCGAAAUCUCGAAUUUUCACUACAACUGAAUUAGAUUAUAAGAACAUAUUUUUGAAACACUUUUAUAUAAGUGUUCUAUUUAUGCCAAAAAAAAUUUAAAAAAUCUAAAUAUAAAACCCAAUCCACUCAAAAAAAAAAAAAAAAUUUCUCUACUCAGCCAAUCACACCUAGUCUACUCGGCCCGAGUACAAAUUAAAAAAAAAAAAUUAAUCACCACCUCCCCUUCUCCUCUGCUGUCGCAGCCGACGAAAUAGGGUUUCGACGGCUGGAGUUCGGCCGCGAGUAUCUCGCAGGGACCGUAAAAGGCUACGAUUGCGACGUAUUCCUCCGCCACAUAUCGCUGGAGCAGUGGGUGCCAAAUAUCAAGAUGGUCCUAUCUAUAGCGAUUCCACAUAUAGCAAUAUUUUUAAAAAGUGCUGGUAAUUUAGUUAGCAAUAUAUUUUUUUUAACUUGUACCGAUUUUUAAAACUGUCGCUAUGCAUUAUUUUUGUUGUAGUGUUUAAAAGUUCAGUUUUAAGCCCAAGACCAACCAAAUCCAUCCAAGAAGGUCAAGUUCCAACAGAGAAUGUAAACCGAAAGGGUUGCGACUCCCAACCAUUGUAAUCGUUUUAUAUUAAACAAUCCCACCUUGAAAAGUAAACAGAAGAACUAAAAAUGACCCAACUUGAAAAUUGGUGUAUAUUAUAUACACUAAAUUAAGGACUAUAUGUACUUAUGCAUAUAGAUAGGAAACUUAUUUGACAAAAGAGGUACAUAUAUAUAUAUUUUUAUCACAAUAAUAAAAUUAGUAUUGAUAAAGAUAAAGAUAUAUAAAUGCGGAGAAAAAUUAAAACCUGGUAGGGGAAAGAGCACGAGUGACUUUUGUCAAUUAGCCUAAUAAUUUUAUUAAUUUAUUAUUAUAUAUUAUUAUUAUUGUUUAUUUUAGGUCUAGUUUGAAGAGCCAUGGCAUGUGGGUUGGACCACAACUUCAAUUGCCACACGUUCACAAAAGUUGGUCUUUAAAUGCUUAAAUCAUGUGGCAUGUGAGUGAUUUUCACCUACUUUUUAUCAUAAAACCAGCAAAUAAAUAAAAAAAAUUAUUAAAAAUAUAAAAAUUAAAUUUAGAAUUUUUUAAGAACUCAGAGUACUGGCUCUCAUACUAUAUGAUGGACAAAAAUUUUAUGGACAUAGUCCCCAUGGGACUAUACGGAUCGGCGCCAUGUGGUCGGUCCGACCGCCACGGCUGGAAAGAAAAAAAAAAAGCCCCGUGUUUUUAGAGAGAGAGAAAAAAAGCAACUGAGAAAGGCAUCCGUCGGAUCGGCCACAUGGUGCCGAUGGAUCGGCCACGGAUGGAAAGAAAAAAAGAAAAGCCCUAUGUUUUUAGAGAGAGAGAGAGAAAAAGAAAUGAGAAAGACACCUGUCGGAUCGGCCAUGUGGUGCCGAUCUGCAUAGUUUGUAAACUAAUUAGUUUGAAAAUUAUUUUCAUAAAAUUAAUUUUGUCUCUGUAUAAUGGGUUGGGAUUAAUCUCAACAACUUUUGCUGGCUUUUAAUGCUUGUUCCCUCGUGAGAUGUAUCUAUCGAAGAAGUGUUUUCGUAGCAGGUGAUGUGAUGUCUCUUUUAUUGGUGGCCGUUGGUGCCAUUGUUUGAAUAUAUUUUUUUCAUUCAAACAUAGUGCUACGUAAAUUAUACCUUAAAUCAGAGUAUGAUAAUAUAUUUUUAUCAUAUGUAAUGCAUCUUUCCUGCAAUUCAUAGUAGAGCCUGCAUCUCUCUUAUGAAGUCACGCAACAAGAAGUAAAGAGUUUAUAAAACUCCAAUUUAAAAGAAAUAAAAAUAGAAUUAAAAAAAGCUCCAAUUUGACAUAUAUAUAUAUAUAUAUAUAUAUAUAUAUAUAUAUAUAUAUAAUAUACUAUACAUAUAAAUUAGACUGGGAUUUACCUAUUAUAGUAAAAACACUCUUUUUAUCUUAGUUUUUAACCCUGGAUGAAAAAUUGUAGGGUUAGGAUGAUAUUAGUCGGUUAGAGUUGAUGGUCCUCCUAGGGUUGAGUGGUCCUACUGGGUUAUAGUAUUUAAUCCAAUGGCUAGAAAAUGAUAAAAGAGUUGAUCCAAUGCUAAAAAAACUGGUAGCAACAAUAGAAUUUGUACUAAUAGUAGCCCAGUCCACUCUAUAUAUAUAAAUAUAGAGAGAGAAGUGCUGGUACUUUUCGUAAGGCACGAGGCCUCCGUGCUUCCACUUUGUUUCGAUGUUCGGACUUUCGAAUCGACGAUCGUUCCGUUAUGUUGAUCUAGAGUAUUUAAAGUACCAAGAAAUUAAAUUUUUGCGAUUUUUCGAUAUCAUUUGCCUAGUGACGAAGGGGCUCAAAUCAAUAUGUUAACAGCCUGGUGAGCCCAGUUGCAAGUUAAUCGGAUGUAGAAAUAAUCCAAUAUCACGUGAAAUUUUGAUAGAAAAUUCUUUAUACCAUAUAAAACAAGAUCAAUAACUUUGAUCUAAAAUUUUAAUGUCAUAUCAUCAUAUUUUGUGAGAUUUUUAUUUUCAGCCGUUGAUUUUGAGCCACUUCGAUCACUAGGCAAAUGAUAUCGAAAAAUCGCAAAAUUUAUUUUCUAGAUACUUCAAAUACUCUAGAUCAAGUCUAACGGAGCCGAUCGUCGAUUUGAAAGUCCCAACAUCGAAAACAAAGUGGAAGCACGGAGCGCUCCGUGCUUCCGAAAGCACCCCAGACGCACUCUAUAUAUAUAUAUAUAUAUAUAUUCGAUUUUGUAUUUUAUUUUUUUAGAAAACAUUUUUAAUAAAUUCUAUAGACCGUAGUGCUUGGUACAUUAAUACAGAGAAGAGAAAAUUAAAGAAGAAAAUAAUAUUGAGGAUCUUCAGUGUGACACUCUGAGGAUUUAACUAGUUAGCAGGGCUAAACCUUGUCCGACUAUUAUAUUUUUAAGCAGUGAUUAGGUCCAAAAGAUUAGCGAUACGAGUCCACAUUACCUAAUAUUUGUGAGUAUGAUUCACUAUGACAGGAAUCGUCAGUACUAAAUUAAGAGGAUGAAUAAUUAUAAAAUAAAUAAUUUCUCUAAAAAACAUGACCUGUACUUUCCUAAAAAUUUAUACUGUUAGAGAACAAUAUUUAUAUAUUUUUAUAUUUAACACUUCCUUUCACGUCUGGGCUCGAAAUUUUUUUAGUUGCCCAUGACGUGGGCUUGAAUUAAAUGGGAAGAAAUUAAUAUGUUAGGAGCCUGACAUGACUUGAACUCAGGAUCUCCUGCUCUGAUACCAUAUGAAACAACCUUGUACUCUAAAAGCUUAAGCUGUUAGGUAUUUAUAUAUUUUUAUAUUUAACCACGUCUCGUUCAAAUCAAAAUAAAAUAUUAUUAAAAAAAUAACUUUUACGACCAUCCUUUAAAAUUUAAUAAUAACAAGCUUUAAGAUUUUUAUCAACAUCAACAUCAUUGGAGAGAAUCUUUUACUAUAAUUCAAUAAUAAGUCGCAUAUAUUUGAAAACUUUACCAAUUGAAUAUAUCUCUUAAUUAUUGGCGAAGCAUCACAUCAACAAAGCUGUUCCCGCGUUUUUAAUUUAUUUGAUACUCUACCAUUAUAAUAUAAAUAUAAUAAUUAAAUAACUAUUAAUUAAACAUAGUAAAAUGAUCGUGACAUAUGAUUAGUACCCAUAGCUCUUUUUUUUUUAUUUUUUUUAUUUUUUGGGUUUAGUUUAGUGCGUGCCACUCCUUUUCAAAUGUGGGUUCCCCCACAAAGAAUUAGUACCCAACGAGUACAUGAUGUGUUAGAAAAUUCGUGCCACAUUUGGUGCCAUCUAAUGCGCAUAAAUUAUUUUACAUAUAUAAAUUAAAAGAAAUAAUUUAUAUUUGUUUCUCUUUUAAUUCUUUAAUUAUAUUUAAUUAAGUUCAUUCAAAAUUAUUGACACAAAAAAGGGGUAAAUUCCAUAUUUCAUCCUCAAAUUUUAAUUUGUUAAUUUUUUUGCUUAAACUUCCAGAUUUUUUACAAAGUUUUGUAAUCCAAUUUAGUUGAUUAAAUAUUAAUAUUUUUUUAAUAUAGUGGUAAUAUAAUAGUAUUGUGAUUGAUGAUACGUUAAUAAUUAAUAUACAAUAUCAUUUUUUUAUAUCAACGAUGCGUAAAAGUUUAGUCAAUUAAAUUGAAUUGUCGGAUUUGAUUGUAAUAAUUUUAAAAAUUCAAGCUAGAAAUUACAGUAAAUUAAAGUUUGAAAUUACAAUGUCAUGCGCCGCAUAGUUUAAAGAUCAAACAUUUAAUUUAUCCAUAUAAAAAAAAAUCUAAUAUAGCCAUAUUGGUGAUAAUUUUUUUUUUUUAAAUAAUUCAUCAGAAUGUGUUUAUCUUUAAAAUAUAGUAAAUAGUUAACUUUAUAUUAAAUUGAAACUAAUUAUUAGAAUAAAUUAAAUUUUACAAAUAGAAAAAAAAAAAAUCAUACAACUUUUUUUUAAAAAAAGUAAACUAGAGUAGACAAAAAGGAGAUUCAAAAACUAAAUAAUAAAUAUAAAUUUAGCACGUUAAUUAAAAUGAUAAAAUUACGCGUAUAUUAUUUAUAAUUAGAUACAAAUCCAUCCACUAAUAUUGGCCCGCUAUUAUUUAUAGUUAGUUUUUGGUAUUAAAUUGAAAUUUUGUUAAAACCAGAGGUGAUUUUUAAAUUUAACUAUUUUGAAACGAGGGCUUUUUUUGCAUUUAGACCCCUGAUAAAUUUUUAUUUUAAAAAUAACCCUGUCAAAAUUUAAUUUGCAAAAAUGGCUCUGGGCCUGCCACGCAGGCGCCACGUCAGCGCCACGGGGGCUGGGCCCGUGUGUUAAGUUGAACACGGUGAACCAUUCACCGUGUUCAAACACGGUGAAUGGUUCAUCGUGUUNUAAGGAAUAAAAAUUAUUAAAUAUUUUAUAUAUUGUAUAAAUAAACAAAAAUAAAUUACGUAUAUAUAUAUAUAUAUAUAUAAUUUAUUUGGGUUUGGAUUCGGAUAAUAUUUCGGGUAUCCAUACCUAUUGACAUCCCUACUCCUUAUUCCACUUUUCAAUAUACAAAAAAUACGUAAGAAACACGGUGAACCAUUCACCGUGUUUAGACACGGCAAAUGAUUCACCGUGUUUAACUUAAUACCCUGGCCCCAGCCCUGCCCGCGUGGCGCUGACGUGGCGCCUGCGUGGUAGGGACAGGGCCAUUUUUGCAAUUUUAAUUUUGAUAGGGCUAUUUUUAAAAUAAAAAUUGCUCAGGGGACUAUUUGCAAAAAAAGCCCUUGAAACGAUUUGAGGCAACAAAAUCACGGAAUUUCGUCGGGUAGAAUUAUUAAUUUUGACAAAAUUUUAAUUUAAUUUAUCAAAAUAAUUAAAAAAUGUUAGAGUGAGUCCACAAAACACGUGAACAAAAAAGUUGAGGGAUUUGAUUCAAAGAGAAACAUUGUUUAGGGGCCUUAGUGCAUUUUUGCGUUUUCCUUUCAAACCGGCCGGCCCUCGCCUUAAGCUACGGAUGACGUCACCCUCGCGGCAACCGACACGUCAUCCGGUCAUGUCCUACGUGGCAAGAGGGUUUGACCGGGUACCGACGGAGGUGACCGGCCCGCGAUUCUAAAACGCGCCGACUCCGCACCGCUACGACAAAUUUUUUUUUUUUCAAAAAAAAAUAAAAAUAAAAAUGUGUGAAAACCCCUCAAUUAUUUGGAAAUGGAAUAAUUAUUGUUUUCUUUCAUUAAGACCCCUCAACUUCUCAAUUUAAAAUUGAGUAUUAUACUUAAUCGAGUCAAAAAUUUAUUGACUUACUAAUAUUACUGGCUAUCAACUAUUUAAUUUAAAGUUUUUUAAAUAACUAACUUUGAUAAAAUUGUUAAUAAUUUUAACAAAUUUUUUGAUUUUUUUACUAAAACUAUUUGAUUAAGAAAUCAAAAAAGUUAAAGUUGACGAUAUUAUUUUGAACUGAAUUAUGGGCAGAGAAAUGCAAAGUCUACUAGUUGAAGAAUUAUGUUUUGCAAGCCAUUUUGAAAUGGCUCCAUCAAGUUUGAAGUUUUUUACUUUUUAAGUUUCUAUAAUCAAAAUAAUAUUAGUUAAAAAUUAUAUAUUUUAUUAAAUUUAUCAAAUAUUUGAACCCGUAUUGCUGCCAGCAUCGGCAGAGGUGUGGGUGAAGUAGGAGAGAGAGGAGCACGGUGUCGACGUUGGAGCGAUGAAGGAGAAGGAGAAGGAGACAGAAAAUAGAGAGAAAGCGGGAGGAAAAUAAGAGAAAUGAACGACAAGUAGACAGACGAAGAGAGCAGAAGAAAACAUACGAGAGAGAGAAAGAAGAUAGAAAAAAAAAAUACUUUGAUCAGUUUACUAAAAAUUCAGAUCUAAUCUAUAACAUCUAAAAAUAAACAUAUGUUUACAAAAAUAAAAACCCAAUAGAUUUUUUUAAACAAGUGAGCCAAAAAGAAAAAGAGUACAACAGGCCCUAAACUUUUAUUUUCUCAUAAACGGUCAUUUGGAUUUUUUAACUUUGACAAUUAAAUCACUAAAUUUUUUUAGAUAGUUUAUUAGAUCUCUCUCCUCAAUCCAAGUUAUUUAUUCCAUUCCAAUUUUGCUCCAAGUUAUUUAUUCCAUUCCAAUUUUGCUAAUUAAGUUCGAGAAUUUGAGAAUAGAAUUGACCUAUAUUAAAUUUUACAAAAAUAACAUUUAUUUCAUUUUUGAACCUUUAUAAGAUAACUAUAAGAUAUACAAUCUGAACAGUUAUACAAUUAGUAAUUUGGAUUAAAAAAAAAAUCAUUGAACUGUCUAAUACAGUUAUGAAAAUUUAAUUUGUUAGAAUAAUAAUUUAGUCACCCUCUUGUAAAAAAGCAAUAGAUUCAAAAAAUCUCUAUACAUCUCAUAUAUUUUUCUCUUAAAAAAAAAAAAAAAGUGAAAUUGCACUUUUCAUUCUCUAAUAAUGAGGCGUGCAAGCAAUUCGAUACUUAAUUUUUAAUUUAUUCUCAAUAUUUUGGCGCAAACUUUCGAAAUUAGUGUGAUUAAAUCCUGUAAUAUAAUUGAUAAUGCAGUAACUCCAUGUACUAUUCAACAAAAUUGGAUCGUACAAUUUAGUUGCAACAAUUUUAAUUUUUUUUUUUGAGAAAAAAAUAGCAUGCUAUCCGUUUCAUUCAUUGAAGAGAUAAAUUAAGUUACAAGAAUAGAGCAUCCAGGCCCCUAAAAAAAAAAAUUAAAAAAAUAAAAAAAAAACGUCACCAUCUCUGAAGUGAACAAUUUAAAAAGUUAAGAGUCUAAAAAUUAACAACAAAGUAAAAGCCGAGGACCAAAACGUCACGAUUGUAAAGUUUGAAGACCAAAAAUAUAAUUUAACCAAUCACCCAUAAACCCCCAAAAAAGAAUAAAAACAAAAACAUAAAAAAACAGGAAACCCGUAAUGGGGGACACGUCUCCGUUCUCCCCCUUCAAAUUCCCGAAAUUUCGCCUCGUAGUGGAAAAAGCCCCCCUCCUCCUCCUCCUCCUCCUCCUCCUCCGCCAUUAUUAUCCCUCUCCUCGAGUUCCCUCUCCUCCUCCUUCAUCUCCCCGCCAUUCCCUUUCGAUCCCCUCCCCAUUCUCCUCCCUCUCCCGAGAUCCGCGUUGUCGAUCCGUUUCCCCCCUCGGAAACCACCCAAAGAUCGGGUUCCUCCCCGAUUCCCGCUUCAAAAUCGGUUCUUUUGACCCCCCCCUUAGCUCGAUUUCGCGUCCAUUGUGGAGAUUUGAACUAAAGUUUUGAUUUUUCUGGUUAUUGUGAUGGUUUUUUAGUGUUGUUGUACUUGUUGUGGGCGUCGGUGGGGUUCGUGGAUUCCAUUGGCAUUUCCCAAUUUCGGCGCUUUAGAUGCUAAUUAGGGGAUUAGGGUUCCAAAGCCGCCACAUUUGGAACCAUGUUAGGGUUCUUUUCUUGAAUAGGAAGGAAGAAUCCCCCCCUUUUUUUCCCUUCCGUUAUUAUUAUUUGCAUUAAUUGGUCACUUCAAUUUGUGAUUUUAGCUCAGAUUCAAAGCUAGGGUUUUACAGUAACCCUGCUUUAGAUUUGGCUCCAAUUGUAGUUAUCUUGAGCUCCUUGUGGGCUACAAACUUAUGAGGCGGCGCCCCGCGACGUCGGGCCACCACGAAGAGAUGGAGAAAUCCAAUUGUAAGUCGCCGCCGUCGCGGCUUUGCUUCCUCGCAACGCUUUCCGCCAUGUUCUGGAUCUUGAUCUUCUACUUCCACUUCUCUGUUCUCACCGGCACCCCAAUUAGCCCGCCGGAUCAAUCCGAAUUUUCAGACGAUAGUAGGCCAUUCGAACCCCUCCCGACGAUGCCGAGUCAUCAGCAUUUUGCUGAGCAUCAAGAGCCCAAAACUUUCCCCUUCGCCCGCGCACUUAGGACGGUCGAGAACAAGAGCGAUCCGUGCGGCGGGAGGUACAUUUACGUGCACGAUCUUCCGUCCAGGUUCAAUGAUGAUAUGAUCAGGGACUGCCGCAAGCUCAGCCUUUGGACCAACAUGUGCAAGUUCAUGAGCAAUGCCGGCCUCGGCCCGCCGCUGGAUAACACCGAGGGCGUGUUCUCCAACACCGGCUGGUACGCCACCAACCAAUUCGCGGUCGACGUGGUCUUCGGCAACCGGAUGAAGCAGUACGAAUGCUUGACCAAAGAUUCGUCGAUCGCGGCCGCCGUGUUCGUGCCGUUUUACGCGGGGUUCGAUAUUGCGAGGUACCUUUGGGGGCACAAUAUCUCGGUGCGCGACGCGGCCUCGCUCGAUUUGGUGGAUUGGCUCACGAAGAGGCCGGAGUGGAACGUAAUGGGCGGGCGGGACCACUUCUUGGUCGCCGGAAGGAUCACUUGGGACUUCCGGAGGCUCACGGAGGAAGAAACGGAUUGGGGAAAUAAGCUCUUGUUCUUGCCCGCCGCGAAGAACAUGUCCAUGCUAGUGGUCGAAGCGAGCCCGUGGAAUGCCAAUGAUUUUGGGAUACCGUAUCCGACUUACUUCCACCCUGCUAAGGACGCCGAGGUUUUCCUUUGGCAGGAUAGGAUGAGGAAGCUGGAAAGGAAGUGGCUUUUCUCCUUUGCUGGGGCGCCUCGCCCCGGCAAUCUCAAAUCGAUCCGAGGGCAGAUAAUAGAUCAGUGCAAGAUGUCGAGUGCGUGUAAAUUGUUGGAGUGCGGUUCUGGGGAGAGUAAAUGCCACUCUCCAAGUAGCGUAAUGCAGAUGUUUCAGAGCUCGCUGUUUUGCUUGCAACCUCAGGGGGAUUCGUACACUCGAAGAUCGGCGUUCGAUUCGAUAUUGGCUGGGUGUAUCCCUGUUUUCUUCCACCCCGGUUCGGCUUAUAUCCAGUACACAUGGCAUCUUCCUAGGAAUUAUUCAAGGUACUCGGUGUUUAUACCGGAGGACGAUAUUCGAAAGAGAAAUGUUAGCAUCGAGGAAAGGCUUCGGAAGAUUCCGCCCGAUGUCGUCAAAGCGAUGAGAGAAGAGGUGAUCAGCCUAAUACCGAGGUUGAUUUACGCAGAUCCUAGGUCGAAGUUGGAAACCCUAAAGGACGCCUUUGAUGUUGCUGUAGAGGCCAUUAUAGACAAAGUUACAAAGUUGAGGAGGGAUAUAAUUGAGGGUCGUGAAGAUAAAGAUUUCAUCGAGGAGAACAGUUGGAAGUAUGCUUUGUUGGAGGACGGUCAUAGGACGAUCGGGGCUCAUGAAUGGGAUCCCUUCUUUUCUAAGCCUAAGGACGGAAGCGGAGAUUCUAAAAGUUCGUCUGCCGAAGCUGCGAAAAACUCUUGGAAAAAUGAACAAAGGAGCCAACAUUGACCUCUCAGUAUGUUGCUCUUUUAUCGAAGGUACUUCGAGGCAAGUUCAUCGCCAGAGAUCGAAGUUGCUCCGCACAAUUAUUGCUCUUUCCGUGAUUUUGAUCUUCGUAAUUUGAUGAGCUUAUCUCUUUAAGUUUGUAAGGAAUACACCUAUGCCCGUGUCCAAAACUAAAAGUAGGCGCUCGACGUUCUUUUCCAGAUAUAUUUCAUUCUUUCUAUAGGCUAGAAAUUUUAUUUGAUGUUAUAUGCAUUAAUAAUUCUCUGUACUUCUUAUAGGUUCUACAAAGAUACAAAUACUUCUAUUGUAUCAUUUUGUUUUGUUCUCUUAAUGUUGUGAAUGAAAAAUGAGGAGAAUAGUGAAGUCCUUUUGAGUUCUAUAACUCUAUUUUUUAUCCUCAAUUUGCAUGUCCUUAAUACAAGACUAUUAUCUGCUCGAAGGAUGUGUGUUUAUAUUCUUUACACUUUACGCUUUUUUGGUUGCUUUUAUGAUGGUUAGUUAGUUGAGUUCUGUGAAUUGACACAUUUUCUCGCUGGUUUAGCGUUUGGAUCUUCUUGAAUUCUCAAACGGAGGGUUACGGAAAUCUUACGUGCAAAGAAUGUUGGCAAGCACUUUCGUGCCAGAUCUGCAGAUUAUAAGCCGGUAUCGACACAGCAACAGUCGAGGAAAGGUAUCGAUGCAACAACCGAAAAUUGUUACCGUGGUGAUUGUGUUUCCAGGACUUUUUACAUGGAGCCAAACGCAUUUAUAAUGCACCACUUGGUGUUAGAUGGAAUUAAAGUGUUGGUGAGAGGAAAUAGGCUUUUUAUGACCUCCAUACGACGGGACCGUGUUUUUGUCUACAAUUAUUUGCUUCCCAUCGCAUGGUGAAAGUUAAAAGUAAUCGGCGCGGUAAAGUUCCUGCAUGUUCAUUUGUACUUUGGAAUGAAUUACUGUCCUAGGAAGAGUUAGUAAAAUUCAGCUUUGGACUGUGUUCUUGUUGUUGAGUUUGUACCGAAGCAUGCUUGGUUGUACCAUUGUAAUUUUGUCAUCUCAUUCUCUGUAAGGUUAAUGUUAAUAGAAUGCAUUAUUUUGAGAUUGAUUCUGAACAUCCUAUUAGUAUUGUCAACAUCCUCAUCUGUUCCUACAAAUGUUUAUUUGCUUGAUGCUCCAAAGUUUCUACUCUCCUCUUUGGGUUCUGUCGAAAGUGCAGCAUCUAUUUCCUCAUUUUAUCUUGUAGUUUUUCUGAUCAAAGCGAAACCGAGAAUGAUUCUUGUUCUUUUGGACUCUGACAUGUUUGAAUCAGAAUCUAAGGAUGGAGCUGUAAUUUUUUUCGCAUUGAGUUUUUAAAACUGUGUCUGCAUCAAGUAUGUGUGGCAUGGCCUUGAGCACUGUGAUUUGUGAACAGCUACUGAAAAUUUACCUGUGAUCUUUGAUUGUUUGUAUAAACCUUCAAUUGCAUAUUUAUGGAGAAAUUAGAUACCCCUGCAAUCUCUGUAAUGGCAUGUUCUUGAAUUAGUAUUUGUUUCAUGUUUCAACUUAGAUGGUGUUUGUGACGCUCCAAUAGUCUCACAUCUGACGGGAAAAGAUUAUGAUUGGGAAUAUAACAAUCAUGAACUAUAAUUACAAUAACUGUAUUUAAGUAUUUUGGGGCCGUGGUUUUGAGCCCAACGAGUUAUUAUUAUUAGUGAGGUGACAUAGAAUUGUAAAGAAAUAGUUUUUAAAUCACAUUUGACUGAUUAGCCCGACCCACAAUAUGGUGAGAAUCGAGUCAUAGUUUUGACCCAUUGGAGUUGAGCUCCGUCUGGACAAACCCGACCCGGCCCAUUUUACAUAAUGGUGCCGGGUCUCGGCAACACUUAUGUUGCUUUUAGACCUAUUAAAGUGAUAUAUUGUAUCACUUGAAAGUUUUUUUUGUUUUUUGUUUUUAACUUAAUAUAUAUAUAUAUGAUAAUAUUUUAGUCUUUAAGAAGCUGGGGAACGAGCCUUGUAUAUGAAAGCACAAGCAAGGAUCGAACAUCCAACCUGUAGAACAACAACCCGGCUAACAAUCGCUAGUCAACUCGAAUAACACUUGAAAUAGAGACAAGGAAAAGACGUGUCUAAAGCCGACACGGCCCAAAUUUUUUCGUGCCAAAGUGGGUCAGGGGUGGGGAUUCAGAUCCGUGUCGUGUCGUGUCGUGUCGUGCUGGGCCGCCUUUUUCUAGACCAAGGCCUGACGCUACCCCCGUCCUCGACCAUUUUGGAAAGGGUUGUGUCGUGCCGGGCUAUGGACUCGCCCAUUUUUUUUUUCAAAUUUUAAUUUUGGAAAAAAAAAGAAAAAAAGGUCAUGCCGGCCCAUGGUGUAGGGCCAUGGGCCAGUCUUGUGGCAUGGCACGGACUGGAGCUGUACGUCCACGGGCUGUUCGGUCCGUUUUACAUCCCUACGCUCAGCUCGUCUUAUUCCCCUAUACAUGAAGUAAUCUUAAUUUUUAAGAAGGGUAAACUUUAAAUACCACUUCUAUGAUUUCGCACACUUUAGUACCCUGUGAUUUAAAGUGUAUAAAGUUAGUGUCAUGUGGUUUCAAUUUUAUCUUUUCGUCAGCUUUUCCGUUAAUAUUUCGUUAAAUUAUAUACAAAAUACUUCAGAUAUCCCACCUAGGUUUAUCGAAUAUUCACUUUAGUACCCUUUAGUUUUAACUUUGUCAUUGAUUUAAUGAAAAAAAUUAGUGAAAUUGAUAAUAAAAAGAUAAAAAUGAAACCACAGAACACUAAAUUGAUACACUUUAAAACAUAGGAUACUAAAGUGAGAAAGUAUGAAACCACAUGAAUAGUAUUUGAAGUUAUCCUUUUAAGAAUGAAGUAUAAGAUGAAUCACAAAGAGGUGACAAUUAUAGAAAUCUUCUCGCUCCACAAUUUUUAUAAGAAAAAAAAGUUUCAUUUUGGUCCCCUAAAGACUAGAAUUUAUAACAUUUUAGUUUUUACUAUGUUUUAUUAUAUAAUUUUUUUUAGAAAAAAAACCUGAGGAGGACCAUGAUCACUGUGGGCCAUAAUGUAGUUCAGUACCUGACUAGUCACACUUAAAAAAAUAAAAAAUAAAAAAACAGAAAAAAAAAAUGCAAGCUUCCAUGUAUAUUCAAAAUUGUUUUAGGGACCUUUUCUAAACCUUUAAAAGAAAAUAAAAAAGUUUCAUGCAUGUCUAGUUUUAAAAAAAUCUUAAUAAUUAUUUGGCAAAAUAACCACUCCAUUUUUUUUUUAGUUUUCUCUCCACUCCCAUACAAAUUAAAGUUGGCCUGAUGUGGUUUUAAUUAAAUAGUUGUAUAAAUUAAUAACAAUGCACAAGAUCACAAUUGUUUAAAGUAAUGUGACAAAGUUACACUGAAGAUCACACCUCAUAAACAGCCCUUCACUACCUAACAUAUAUUCCUCUCAUGGUGUGUAGCUUUGUGUAUCCUUUCCCAUUGGAGAAGAGCCACUUUUCAAUAAUUCAUGACUAAAUAAACAAAAGUGUUCAUAAAAAUACUAGUAGAUAAAUCCAAGUGAUUAAAAUUGGAAGUAGCCCUUCACCUUCCAUUACCAAUUAAAUUAACUAUGAUCCAAAGCGAAAUUUAUAUAAUCCAUCUCGGAUUUAUUUGCUAUGGCUAGCUAUAACUUAUAUAUAAGUGUUUUUUGAAUAGAGCUAUUUUUUUUUUACUAAAAACUUGUUUGCCUCGGUUAUAAGGCAUGCAUGAUGUUGUUCUAAGAAGUAUUUUGAGUUGUUCUGUCAUCUAAAUAGGAUCUUCUUAUUGGCUUAAAAGAGCCAGCAUCCUACCCUGUGGCAGGAGAUUAUGUUGGAUCAAGUUAUGUUCGAAAUGGUGAGAGGUCGGAUUAGGCUGAGUCAUGUUCGAAAUGAUGUGAGGCUGGUGAGGCCGAGUCACAGUCGAAAUCAGUGGGCACCAUAUCUGUACACUUUAAGUGAAUUUGUUGCGUAUUGCUAAUAGCUCAAGCUUUUUGGGAUUAAUGGUUGGCAGCAACGAUCCGGCACUUCUAUCUUUGAGGCUUAAACUCCUAUUUUAGUUUUCCCCAUAGCAGAAAUACUCGACUUAUUUGUUUGCUAAGUGCUUUAGUUAAUACAGAUGACUGUAACUGAAACCCUAAAAGCAGAAUCACAGGUGAGGCUGAGCAAACACUAAAAUUCCGUGAAAGCAAUAUUCCUACAACAGCGGAAGGAAGUUUCAAAUUAGAACUUUCUUUCUGUAGUAAGGAAAAGAAAAUUUUGAUUAAUUAGGUGCGUUUACUCUCAAACUUGUCAUCUCAUUGCUUUACUUUUUUUCUUUUCUUUUUUGCAUUUUGGGAGCUACAAAGCAUGUUAAGAAUGGGGAAUUGAACGUAGGAACUUUUAUCAGUAUUGAAUAUAAAAUAUUAAGACACAGUUCUCUGAUAGCUAUUUUAAACUUUAGAGACGAUUGUUUAUUCAUGUAGUAUUAAAGUAAGAGGUCUUGAGUUUAGAUCCUUCCUGUUAGCUUUGUUUAAUUAUUUUCUAUUAAUUUAAUUCAAGUCUACAUCUAAAAUAUGUUCUCCUAUAUAUAUCAGUUGCCAGAUUUUAUUUUGGAUAAGCUGUUGUUAUAUUUGUUAAAUUUCAUCAAAAUUAGAAAGACAAUGUACAUUGGAGCCACUGCUCUCUCAUCAGCUUAGUUAAAACCAUGUUUAACAAACACUAGUAAAAUAUAAUGUGCACAAAUGCCAAAUGAUUAAAUCUCAUUAUCUAUAUAAUCUAAACACAGUUACUAAAAAAAUGGUAUCUCUACAUUGCAUGCUUACACUAAUCUAAUACAGGAGCACCAGCUAGAUUUAUAGUAAAAAAUCAUGUUUUCUCCUAAUUAACUUUGGGUGCUGAUGGAUUUUGCAAACUAUUAUCUCAUUUUGUAAUUAAUCAUAUAGCUUAAUGCUCAGCCCAUUAAAUAAACACAUUAACAUAUAAUUAAAUAAUGCCUUUUAGGUUGUGUCUGUGUGUAUAUAUAUAUAUAUAGUUAUAGUGUCAUGCAACUUUAUUGCUCUUUUAUUUAAAGUAAACAAUAAGAUUGUAACAUGCCACAUUUAAUUAUAUAUCACAUAAAAGCACACUAUUUGGCACAAAUUACUUUGUGUAGUGGGACAUUAAUAAUAGUACUUUUCCCUCCACAAGUCUUUGAAAAGCCUCAAAAUGUGCUUAUUAAAAUCAAUAAAUAUGGGAGGAUAAUGCUCAAUAAUUAAUGCAUGGCUUAUUAUUCUCUGAUCUUUUUCUUUCCAAGAGGGGGGAGAAGCUACGUACACAAUGCAAUUUGAGAAGUCCCUUCACAUGGCCUCCAUCUUCUUGCUAAUGUAUUUAAGUAGUAAAGCAUAACAAGUACACUAAAAAGGCCAAGGCCAUGUGUGCAUGUGGGUGAUGAGGAGGGGUUUGAGUUGGAUGAGUGUACUGCGGUUGGUGGCCGCAUCUAUUUGAUUGCACCUCUCUCUCUCUCUCUCUCUCUCUCUCUCUCUCUCUCUUGUUGUUUGCACUUGGUGCAUGUGUACAUUUGUGCUCUGCUCUUUCCUUAAAACUAUAACACCUAAAUAGUCUCACAUCGAAUAAAAAAAAAUUUUAAUUGAGAAUAUAAGAGGCCACCUAUCCUAAUAAUAAUAAUAGGGGUUAAGCAUUUUCGAUUAGUGGUGCAUUUUGGGCUUCUGAGAGCUUAUUAAGUACUUAUGCAGGGCAAAGUGCUAUAUCAUAAGUUUGGUGGGAGUCACCUCUUGAACUCGUAGGAGUCACCUCUAUAAUCUCAUAUUGCUUGAUAAUUCUGAUUUUUAUGUUUGUGAUCGGAUUAAGACCUGAAAAGAAUAUCAAGAUUUAAACGGGCAGUCCUACAUCAGAGGAAAAAAAAAGGGUUUUUGAUUGAGAAUAUAAAAGGCAACACACCUAGUAGUAAUAAAUCGGACUUAAGUAUUUUGGAUUGAUGAUUUAGAGCCCAACGAAUUAUUAUUGUUAACGAGCUAGUUCAUUACAAAUACUAUUCUUGCAACGUUUUCUAUCAAAUUGACUAAUAUAAUAUAGAAGCUACUUUGAAGUCCUUUUUGGGUCCAAGAGAUUUGAUGUUUAAUUUUCACAUUCCUGUUUUAAGGGACGUAAUUCUGUUUGUUAUUCAGUUAUCGCUUUCGUUGCCUCUACGACCAGUGUACAUGAUUCAAUUCACCCGGGAUAUCCAUCAUGCACAUUGUCAACCGAAAGAUCGAUUAGGAUGUUAGGUAUAAUCGAUAGCCAAUUCUUAUAUUAUCGUUAAAAGUCAGGUGUUAAAGUUACUCCUAAACUAUUUCUUAUCAGAUCGAUCUUUUGAGUAAUGGGUACAUUCAGCUUCAUUAUCUCAUUUUUCAAUCUGCACCAUCCAACCAUUUUAACCGGUCACUUCGAUUUUUCAAGUUGGAAAGAAAACAUUCAAUGAGUGGCAUAAACUAGGGUGUGAGAUGGAAUAUAUGAAUGGACGGCAGGGUACGGUACAUGGGGUAUACAGAUGCACGGGGUGCAAGCAAGACCUCUCUCUCUCUCUCUCUAACAAAAUUGGAGAGAGAUGAUUUGUGGUUUCUCUCUCAUUCCAGUGUAGGGGCAUAAAUCAACAUGGGAAGAUUCUAAGAGGGAGGGCCCAAUGACAAAAUUGGUGCACUUGGGUUCAUGCCAUUUUGCUCUCUAACUAAACUACAUUAGGAGAAAAAGUUACACAAAAAUAGUACAAAGGAAUGGGGAGGAUACAGUUGAGUCGGUUGGGUUGACUUUUCAGGGAGAACAAGGGUCAUGUUAGCUUCUGUACUCUUAUAUAUAUAUAUAUAUAUAUAUAUAUGUAUAUAGUCCGGUUAUGGUGCUUGUAAAAGCAUCAAGCACUUGGUGCUUAUAAAUUUUUUACCGUUAGAUCUAUGCUUUUGAUCAUUUUUACCCGUUAGAUUAUACUAUUCAACCAACCACUCACUCAACCCUAGGGGGCCCACAUCAUCCUAACCGUAUAUUUCUUAAUCCAAGGGCCGAAAACUUAUAAACACCAAUGACUCAGUACUUUUAAAAGCAUAGAAGCUCAAUUCUCUCUCUCUCUCUCUCUCUCUCUCUCUCUCUCUAUAUAUAUAUAUAUAUAUAUAUAUAUGCUUUUUAAUUUGGAAUUGGAAAGAGGCAUCUUAAAAACCUUAUGUGGCACAAAAUUAAGUUCAUUGAAGUGGGUUUUCAUUUUUGGGUAAAUUUUAAUGGUGGGUUCCAUGGUUUUAUUCUUAUUACUUAAAUCUUAUUAGAGUGCUGUUCUGAUAUUUUUCACAAGAUUGUUUUGGUCAGUCUGAUUAAAAUUUGAUUUUUGUUCGGUUUUUGAUCUAUAUAAAUGUGUCAUGUUUGUGUUUGGUUUGAAUUUCAAUGUAAACUUGUUCGAAUCCUGAGUCAAAAUGAGUAUUUAAAUAAUUUACAUGUCGAGUUUAGAACAAGUUAAAUCUGAUUCAAAUCCAAAAUUUAGUGGUGUUGACAACACAACCUCUUUUAAAAAACUAAAAUAGUAACAUCAGAAUGCCUAAGUGUUAUAAAUGAAAUAAUAAGACAUCAAAAUGCACUUUAAUUACCACAUUACUCUUUUAUGAAAUGUACCAUCUCUCACACACGCACAUUUGAGCAUAGGAAUAUCAACAGGUCGGUUUUUGGACGACUUUUGUAAUAUCCAAAAUUGAACCUGAAUAAGAACACGAACCCGAAGCCUGAAAAUGUAGCAACUGUAUAACAAAGAAAUUACAAUAGUGAUCGAUAGCAACCAAAGACUGAGAACCAGGUAAUGCAGGUAUUAAUUAUAUUCAUAAUCAUCUAAGUGACAAUAUCUCUACCAACUAUAUUAUUACACAUUUGAAAUACUCAUUGAGGUUUCUUUGGUGGUAAAAAAUUAAUAUGCCUCUAAUCCAAGCAACCAAAUUGUUUAUCCUAUAUGGAGGUAAUGACUUUAAUUAGGGAAAGCACCCAAAGAGCUAAUCUAGGAUAGAGGACUUUUAGGUAAGAUGAUUACUAAGCUUCAAAGCAAGUGCUUAUAGUAGUUAGUAAGUCAAUAAAAAAUUAAUAUAUGAGCACAAAAGGGAGAAAAGUUAUAGGAGUUGCUUAUGAUUGUUCAUCAAUGGCUAAUGAUGCUCUAUCAUUUCUCUUUAAUUUCCUCUUAUUACCUUUUCUUUUUCACCAACUUUAUCUUGCCUUGCACUGCCUAUGACAUUUUUCUAUAUUAGCUACCAAUCCAAAUGCUAACUUUAGUUGAAGAUAUAGUGUGAGACAUAUAAUUGCAAUAUUUAAUAAUUUUGAGAUGAAAAGGUAGUUUUUUUAAAAAAAUUAGAAAGAUAGUAUGUUAUAUGCUUAUUUAUUAAAAUUUUAUUUGGAGUAAAAUAAGUUAUUUUUGAAUAACUUAUUCGGUAUGAAAAUUUUUCUUGUUUGGUUGGAGAUAAAAAAUUAAAAUUUUACUCUUUAAAAGGUUUUGUAUUCAUAAUUUGCUAGGAUGAUAUAUUUCACCUUUAAAAUUUAUAUUAUUUUGAAAACUUGACUAGAAAGUAGAAUAUGUUAUUUUAUUCUAGAUAUUUAAUCGUAUUUUUCAUCUACGAAAUACUACAACAUUUUAAGAAAAUCAAAGACAUAUGUGAAAUAAAAUAUUCAAACAUCGAAACAGAAUCUAAACAAAAUGAAUUCAGCUACAAAAAGUAAGUUAUUGGUCCUAUUAGGUUUUUGGCACUUGAAUGAAGAGAUGUACUAUUAGGAUGAUAAUAGUUCCUUAGAGUUUAGCGGGUGGCUGAUAAAAUAGUAUGAUCUAAGAGGUCAAAAUGGUCACAAGGUAAGUCUACUGGCGGAAAACUUGAAAGCGCCAAGUGCUUGGUGCUACUAACAGUAUUGUAGCAGAACUCUCUCUCUCUCUCUCUCUCUGAGUGUAUCUUUUUUUUGUACUCAUAAAUUUUUAGCCAUUGAAUGAAGGAAUGUGCAAUUAGGAUGAUGGUAGUCUCCAAUUUGGAUGAAAGUUGUCAUCUAGAGUUGAGUGGUGGUUUGUUGAAUAGUAUGAUUUAACAGGUAGAAAUGGUCAAAAUGGUAGAUUUAACGGCCGAAAACUUAUGAUAUAAAAGGGUUUAUAUUUAUGAGAAUAUAGUAGCUGGACUAUAUAUAUAUAUAUAGUUGAGCUAGAAUACUAUCGAUAGCAAACGACCUCCGUUGCCACCCAUUUGUUUUUGAUGAUGGAGCAUCCAAAUCGACGAUCGGUACCGUUGAACAUGAUCUAUACCACUUGAAGUGUUUAGAAAUCAAAUUUCAUAUAUUUUCGAUAUUGUUCUCUUAUCCAUCAAGUGGACACAAAAAUGAACGGUUGAAAAUGAAUAUUCUUUAAAAACUGAUGAUAGGACCCUUGUAAUCAAGAUCAAGAGUAUAGAUCUUGUUUUAAAUAGUUUAAAGAAUUUUCUAACAAAAAUUCAAUUGAUUUGAAUAUCUUUACGCCGUUAAAUAAGAAAACGUAUCAUAUCGAUCAUUAAAAUUACAAAUUUUGAAACCUUUUGAUCAUUAGGCAAAUGAUGUCAAAAAGAUUUAAAAUUUGAUUUCUAAAUACUUCAAGUGGUAAAGAUCAUGUUCAACGGCGCCAAUCGUCGAUUUGGAGGCUCUAUCAUCAAAAAUAAAUGGGUGACAAUGGAGCCCGUUUGCUAUCGAUAGUAUUUUAGCUCAACUCUCUCUCUCUCUCUCUCUCUCUCUCUCUCUCUCUCUCUCUCUCUAUUAUUAUUAUUUAUUAUAUAUAUAUCAUAUAUAUAUAUCAUCAAGUUUGAUGGGUGGUUAGAAUGAAAAGGGGAAGAGAUGUGUGGAGAGAAAUUCAAGGAGAAGAGAAAUUGAAGACACCAUUAUCUCCUCCGAAUAUGAUCUCCCCAUCUCAUUCUAACCACCAUGCAAUCUUGCAUGGGGAUGGGUAGCAUGGUUAAAGUAGAAGCACGAAGUGACUGCUGUGCCGGGGCUAGUAGUUAGUAACCUACACUAUAUAUAUUAUAUAUAUAUAUAAUAUAUAUACUUAGUAUAUAUAUAUAUUAUAUAUAUAUAUAUUAUAUAUAUGUCACAAUGUUAUGCUCAUUAAUUAUGAUAUGCAAGGGCACUAUUCUACUUGAAGAUUUCAACCUAUAUAUUUACCUUAAACUAGUGGAUACCAAGGUCCAUAACAUGUCUUUGGAAGUAAACAAUACGUACUUAGCCUCACAAAUCUACUCUGUCUCGGACAAUUCACAUUCAUAAUAAAUAAUCUUAAUCCACACGAGUGAUCUGUUUCUUCUCUCUCUCUCUCCGUGACAAAUUAAGUGCCCAUUAAUUUUUUUUGAGAAAGAGGUAGCAAGCUACCCGCUUCAUUCAAUAGGGGUAUGAAUUUAGCAAUCAUGAUGGAGACAGCUAGGGUCUCCUCCAGGGUACAAAAACUCCGAAACAGAAGAAAAAAGUAACUAAGUGCCCAUUAAUUAUUAUCAUCAUCUAAAGUAAUAGUGAAUUAAUUAGAGCUAGAGUGAUUUUAGAAGCAUGGAAUACUCUAAUUAUCAACUUAUUUUUGAUAAUGGGACUUUCGAAUUGAUGAUUGACUCUAUUAGACUUGAUUAGUUUAUUUUAAAGUAUUCAUAAAAUAAAUUUUAUGAUUUUUCAAUAUUUUUUUUUGAGAAAUUUCAAUAUCAUUAACCUAGUAAUCGAAAAGAUUUAGAAUUAACAAUUUUAAUAAUCCAUUUGAGCUGUUUGCAAAUUUAGCAAUGUAAAAAUAUGGAAGUUAGGUAAAAUUUUCAUACAAAUUUGUUUAUGCUAUUUAAAGUAAUAUUAAUAUAUAUUUCUAUUUAAAAUUUUAGUAGCAUAUCAUCACAUUUUGUGAUAUUUUUAUUUUUGGUCGUAGAUUUUAAGCUAUUUCAAUUACUAGAUAAAUGGUAUUUAAAAAUUACAAAACUUUUACUUCUAAGUAUUUUAAAUGUACUCAAGAUAAAAUCUAAAGAAAUUGGUUGUCAAUUAGGAAAUCCUAUUAUCGAAAAUAACUAAUAAGCAUGGAGAUCUCUAUACUUCUAAAAAUAUUCAAGCUGGACUUAUAAAAUUAUAAAAUCGCCACUUUUAAAAAAGCUUUAAGUUUUUGAAAAGUGACAGUUGUUUCAUAUAAUUUAUUUAAUAUUAUAUGAUAUGAGAAUAAAAAAAUUCUGAGUUCGAGUUUUACCAAACCCAUAGUGUUAUUUAAUUUUUUUCUAAAAAUAUCUCUUGCUGGUUAAUCAUACAUAAAUAUAUAAAUAUUUAUACUUAACUAAACAUGCAUGUUCAGGUGACAAGCUCCCGCACAUUCUCUAACCAUGUUUGAUGUCGGGGUUCGUUCUCAACAAUCCAAAGAAUUUUCCAGCUUAUGUCCAAAUUGCUCCAGUUUUUGCUCCAGUUUUUGUUGCUUAUUUCCAGCUGUUUCUGACCCCAAGACCCCACGAGCUCACCAAACCUCACUAUUCCUCUCUCUCUCUCUCUCUCUUACUUGGUUUUCAUGUAUCAGUUCUUGAUCCAUCUCAUUACAUACUUCAAUUUUAAUCGUUACGUAUUUAUAAUUUUAAUUUUUUAUUUGUUUAAGAAGUAGAAGAGAUUCAAAUAUAUGAUAAGAUUUAGGGCUAUUGAAAGAUAGUACAUAAGAAUAAAGAUAUAAGAUGUUAUGAUAAUUUAUUCAUAUUUUCUCUCAGUAGAAAAAUUAUCAUUUAUAAAUCUCUUAGCUGCUCGAUUUAUAUAUCUAUUCAAAUAAUUCAACAUAUUUGAAUUUUUUUAAAAAGAAAUAUCGUAAGUAUAUGGGCGAUGAUAAAAAGCUUAAAUAUGAGAUGUGAUGGAGGGCUGAAAAAAUAUGAUGCGUGGGUUGAUACAGUGCACCAAGUUUAUAAGUUUUAUUUAUUUUUUUUCACUAUUUUAUAAAUUAAAAAUAAAAUUUAAAUAUAUGCCCAACCUCCAUUAGUAAAGCCAAUAAAAGAUUCUUAAUCCUUACUCUCUCCUCUUCUUUUUAAAUUAAACCAUCCUUCUUAUGAACUUCCUCCUCCCCCACACUCUCCCCAGCUGCUUCAAACCACUCACCAUUAAUGGAAGCAUAAUAAGCAAAAGCAAAAGGAAAUUUACAGAGGAGAAAGAGAAGCAGCAGCACCAAAAUGCUAAUCACUAGAAUGCCAAUUCUCUUCCUCUGCAUGCUCUCAUUAACUGCAUUCUCUGCCGCCGCUGCUGCGGCCGAUGACGAGGCGGCGGCGCUGCUGGCGUUUAAGGCGGUGCUCGCCGACCCCCUCGGCGCGCUCCGCGACUGGACACCGCCGCUGCCGUCGUCGUCGUUGUCGUCGCAUUGCAAUUGGACCGGCGUGCGGUGCGAUUCGCGGGGCUCCGUCACCGGCCUCGACCUCUCCGGCCUCAACCUCAGCGGCUCUGUCGCCGCCGACCCCCUCCGGCGCCUCCCGGCGCUCGCCUACCUCAACCUCUGCUGCAAUUCCUUCUCCUCCCCGCUCCCGAACCCCCUCCCGGGCCUCCCCGCCCUCCGAGAGCUCGACGUCAGCGACAACAACUUCGCCGGCCGGUUCCCUGCCGGCCUCGGCGCCUGCCCGGCAUUGCGCUCCCUCAACGCCCGCGGCGGCUUCUUUGCCGGCUCGCUCCCGCCCUCCUACCGCGGCCUGCAGAAGCUCGAAUUCCUCGGCCUCUCCGGCAACAACCUCACCGGAGAGCUCNUGGCGUGCGGUGCGAUUCGCGGGGCUCCGUCACCGGCCUCGACCUCUCCGGCCUCAACCUCAGCGGCUCCGUCGCCGCCGACCCCCUCCGGCGCCUCCCGGCGCUCGCCUACCUCAACCUCUGCUGCAAUUCCUUCUCCUCCCCGCUCCCGAACCCCCUCCCGGGCCUCCCCGCCCUGCGCUCCCUCAACGCCUCCGGCAACAACUUCGACGGCCCCCUCCCCGCCGACGUCGGCAACGCCACCGCCCUCCAAGUCCUCGACUUCCGCGGCGGCUUCUUUGCCGGCUCGCUCCCGCCCUCCUACCGCGGCCUGCAGAAGCUCGAAUUCCUCGGCCUCUCCGGCAACAACCUCACCGGAGAGCUCCCCGCGGCGCUCUUCGAGCUCUCCGCAUUGGAGGAGCUCAUCAUCGGAUACAACGAGUUCGAGGGCCCGAUCCCUGCGGCCAUCGGGAACCUGACCAGGCUCCGGUACCUCGACGUGGCGAUUGGGAACUUGAACGGCGCGAUACCGCCGGAGCUCGGGAGGCUCCGGAUGCUGACGACGGCGUACCUGUACAAGAACAACUUCGUCGGCGAUAUUCCGAGAGAAUUGGGCAAUGCAAGCGCGCUGACAAUGCUCGACCUCUCCGACAACGGGCUCACUGGGCCGAUACCGGCGGAGCUUUCGCAGCUGAGUAACCUGCAGCUGCUGAACUUGAUGUGCAACCGGCUGAAGGGCGCGGUGCCCGGCGGCAUCGGCGAAUUGCCGCGGCUGGAGGUUCUGGAGCUGUGGAACAACUCGCUGACGGGGCCGCUGCCCUCCGGCCUCGGGCGAGCCUCGGCGCUGCAGUGGGUGGACGUGUCGACGAACUCGCUGUCGGGGCCGAUCCCCGCGGGGCUCUGCGAUGGCGGCAACCUCACCAAGCUCAUCCUCUUCAGCAACGCGUUCGCGGGGCCGAUCCCGCCGGGGCUGACGGCCUGCGCCUCGCUGGUGCGGGUGCGCGUGCAGAACAACCGCCUGAACGGCUCCGUCCCCGCAGGGCUCGGCCGGCUGCCGCGGCUGCAGCGCCUGGAAUUGGCCGGCAACGAGCUGUCGGGGGAGAUACCCGACGACAUCGCCCUCUCGACGUCGCUCUCCUUCGUCGACCUCUCGCACAACCGCCUCCGGUCGGCGCUCCCCGCGAACAUCCUCUCCGUGCCGACGCUCCAGAGCUUUGCCGCCGCCGACAACGAGCUGACGGGCGGCGUCCCCGACGAGCUGCAGGACUGCCCCUCGCUGUCUGCGCUAGACCUGUCGAGCAACCGCCUGUCCGGCAGCAUUCCCGCGAGCCUCGCGUCGUGCCAGCGGCUCGUCACGCUGAGCCUCCGGAGUAAUAUGUUCGCGGGCACGAUCCCGGCCGAUAUCGCGAUGAUGCCGACGCUGUCGGUGCUCGACUUGUCGAAUAACUUCCUCACCGGAUCGAUACCGGCGAACUUCGGCAGCUCCCCGGCGCUCGAAAUGCUCAAUUUGGCCUACAACAACCUCUCCGGCCCGGUGCCGUCGACGGGGCUGCUGAGGACUAUAAACCCCGACGACCUCGCCGGAAACUCUCGGCUCUGUGGUGGCGUGCCUCCGGACGUCGCACGUGAGGCACAUUGCGGCCGGAUGGGCGGUCGGGAUAACGGCGGUGGUUGCGAUUGCCGCCGCGGCGAUCGCGGGGCGGCGGCUGUACCGGCGGUGGUACGUGGACGGCGCAGGCUGCUGCUGCGAGGACCGGUUCGACGAGGAGAGCAGCGGGGUCGCCGGAGCCUGGCCGUGGCGGAUGACGGUGUUCCAGCGGCUGAGCUUCACCAGCGCCGACGUGCUUGCGUGCGUCAAGGAGGCGAACGUCGUCGGGAUGGGCGGGACGGGGAUCGUCUACAAGGCCGACAUGCCCCGGCACCACGUGGUGGUGGCCGUCAAGAAGCUAUGGCGCAGCCGUGGUGCAGGCGACGAUGAUUUAGCCGGAGAGGUAGGCAGUGGGCUCCAACCGUUUGUCUCUAUAAUCUUAAAAACUCAAUGUUUUUACAUAGAACAUUACUUAAUAAAUUAAGGGGCAAUUGUUUAUACAUCCUUGAAAAAUUUUUGACUUUUUAAUUUAUCUCUCUUAGAAGGCUAAUAUUGAAAAUAUCUUUUUUUACGUUUCAACCUAUUUCUAAUAUAUCCAUCGAGUUAAAAUCUAUUAAUUAACUCUGUUAUCUCUGUAAAAUUACUAUUUUGUCAUUUCAAAUAUACGCCUUCACCAUGAUUGACUUUCUUAUUUGCCCUUAAAAUCAGGGUAUUUUAACUUUUGGUCUUUUCCAAUAUACCUCUCUACUGUUACCAAUAUUUUUUUAUUUACCCUUAAAUUAAGGGUAAAAUUGGUAUUUUAAUUUUUUUAAAUAUAGAUAUUUAACUCACGUUUAAACUAAGUUAACUUAACAGGAGAUAACUGUAGGAUUAUUUUGCAAUAAUGGUGGAAUAUAUAAGGGGUAUUUUAGAAAAAAAAAGAGAGAAUAAAUCAGAUAUUUUCAAAUACAUGAGAGGUAUGAGGAGUAUAUAGACAAUUAUCCCAUAAAUUAAACACGAUGUCUACUGUCAAAAAAUAGUAUUUUUAAUAUUUUAUAUUCAACAGGUGGCACUAUUAGGACGACUGCGGCACCGAAACAUUGUUCGGGUGGUCGGGUACAUGCGGAACGACUCUGACACGAUGAUACUGUACGAGUACAUGCCGAACGGGAGCUUGUGGGAGGCACUGCACAGCGGCGGCAACGGCGGGGCGGGCAGGCUACUGGUCGACUGGGUGGCGAGGUACAAUGUGGCGGCGGGGAUAGCGCAGGGGCUGGCGUACCUGCACCACGACUGCCGGCCGCCGGUGAUUCACCGCGACGUCAAGUCCAGCAAUGUGCUGCUCGACGCGAACCUGGAGGCGCGAAUUGCCGACUUUGGGCUAGCCAGGAUGUUGGAGCGCAAGGACGAGACCGUCUCCACGGUCGCCGGCUCUUGCGGCUACAUCGCGCCAGGUGAGUGUCAAAUGUAUACUAUCAAAAUAUCAUUCUCCGACAGCUUAAUUAUAAAAUAAUUAAUUAUUUUAAAUAAUAUAAUAUAUAAUAAAUAAUUUAAAAUUCAAAUUUCGUCAGAUUUCUAAACUCACAAUUUACAGAGUACGGCUACACUCUAAAGGUGGAUCAGAAGAGCGACAUAUACAGCUUCGGCGUGGUCCUGAUGGAGCUACUGACCGGCAAAAGGCCGAUCGAGCCCGAGUUCGGCGAGGGCCAGGACGUGGUCGGGUGGGUGCGAGAGCGGCUGAGGAGCAACCGCGGGGUCGAGGAGCUGCUGGACCCCACAGUCGGGGGGCGGUGCGAGCAUGUCCGCGAGGAGAUGUUUUUGGUCCUGAGGAUUGCCGUGCUCUGCACCGCACGGUUGCCAAAGGACCGGCCAUCUAUGCGGGACGUGGUCACGAUGCUCGCCGAGGCAAAGCCGCGGAGAAAAAGCACGACCACAACCACGACCACGACCACGACCACGAUCGCGGCCACUACUACUGUUAUCACCACCAAUGUUGUGACUAACAAUAAGCCCGUGUUCACUACCUCCCCGGAUUCUGGGUACCUGUAGGCUUUUUUGGCGCCUCUUUGUAAUAUUUGAAUUCCAAAUUUUCUUUUGUAUGUAUUUUUAAUUUUUUUUUUUUUCAAAUUUCAAUAUUGGAUGUGUCGUAUAUUUUUUUAGAUUUUAUUAUUUUGGUGGUUAGGGAGAAAAAAAAUGGUAUUUGGGAAUAAAUUGUUACUUACUUGUAGAUGUUUUAAAUGUUUAAAAAGAAAUAAAAGAAUGAUGGGUAAAAAAUAAAUAAAUUAUUUGAUCAAAGUUUUCUUUUCCAAUAGCUUGGUAUUUCGAAUUAUUUCCAAAGAGAAAUCAUUUUUAUAUCUCCUAUAAAAUAUAAUAAAAACUUGCAAGCUGAGGUAGGGGAUGUGNUUUUUUUUUUUUUUUUUUGGGUCUCUUUUUGUAAUUUGGACAUGAAUAAGGAAAGAGGCCAAAAUGUAAAUUGAUUUAUGUGGUACGCAAUCAACUACCUUAGGGGCGAAUUGACUCGUUGUAAUUAUAAAUACAGUAUAGCUAAAAAUAUUAUUAUUCAAUUUUUUACAUUUAUAAAAUUUUAUAAUUUUAUUUAUGAAGUUGUGGCAUUAUCUCUUAUGAACGAAAAAAAAUUGUUUAAGAAAUUAUUAGAAAGGUAAACAAAUCUUUUAUUUAAAGUUAGUCUCUUCAGCUGAUAUAGUUGGAAGUACUAGCAAUUUGAGUAUAUUUCCAUCUAUUACAAUUGAGCUUCUUCGUGUAUUUUUAACUAUAGUAGUUAAAUUUAAAUACAUUAAAUUAAUUUUAUUUAUAUUUAUAGCUGUAAAGUAGGUGCAAUUACAUACAAUUAAACUGUCCUUUAGCUUAAACUAGUAUAGGAUCCGCGCUUCGCAGCUGGUAGAUAGUAUUUCAGUCAAUUAAUAUAUAUAAUUUUUAAAAUUUUAAAAUUGAAAAAACUUGUAAUGAAGAAUACAAAACAAACUUAUAUAUCCUUUUAUAUAUUAUAAAAACUAUUUUUUUAAUAAUAAUUUUAACUUCAAGUAUUUGUAGAGUUAAAGUAUCGUAAUAACUUUACUUAAAAAUUCAAUCAAACUUAAUAAUUUUAAUAGCUAUUUCAUAAAUAAAUUUUUAUUUUAAAAAUUAAAAUUGGAGAAAUUAUUCUAAACUACCAAAUACAUAAGAUCGUCUUUACCUUACUAAAAUUUAUUAGAAAAAAAAUGUUAUUAUUUGCACAUGGUAUAUUAAUACACACCAUAUAUCGUAAUUUAUAUUAGAAAACUAAUUUCUAAUAUCAAAAUAUAAUUAAAUAAUCUAGGCUAUGAGGUCUAAUAAUUUAAAUAUAUUUGCUGAAUUAAAUUUUAAAUUCACUAUUAGAGAUUUGAAGCAUGUGGUGUAUGUAAUUAUAUACAUUUAGUGUAGAGAAUGGACUUUUUUCGAAACUAACCCUGUGAAAUUACAUAUUUGCCAAACUAACCCUGUGAAAAUUUUAUUUGUGAAACUAACCUUCCUCUCGCCACCUCAGCGGCCAGAUCAGCAUUUCUCAUAAAGACGGUGAUUCGUUCACCGUCUAUAAGUAUAGCUCUUGAAGACGGUAAAUGGUUAACCGUCUUAUUCAGACGGUAAAUCGUUAACCGUCUUCUCUAGGCGUAGCAUGCCGCCUUUUCAGCAAUUCCCCGCGCACCCUACCACCUUCUCAGCAAUUCCCCGCGUGGCACAAGGUGCCUAUAUAAGACGGUUAACUGUUUACCGUCUUCUAAAAGACGGUAAACAAUUUACCGUCUUAUCUCCCUAGCCAGCCUANUGUAGUAUUACACGAAAGACGGUGAACGAGUCACCGUCUUUGUGAUAUAUGCUGAUGUGGCAGCUGAGGUGGCGAGAGGAGGGUUAGUUUCACAAAUAAAAUUUUCACAGGGUUAGUUUGGCAAAUAUGAAAUUUCACAGGGUUAGUUUCAAAAAAAGAGAAUACUUAACUAUGGACCGAGCUCUUUGAAAAGCUCUUUUUCAUAGUUCUAGAAAAGAGACCAGAAAUUUUUACUUGCACAUGAUAUAUACUAAUAUUUCAUGUAUCGUAAGUAUAUUAAAUGAUUGAUAAAAAUAUCAAAUAGUUAUUAUCAUAAAAUAAAAUAUGAUAGAAUAUAAUAUAAUAUAAAAUAUAAAAUAUUUUAAAAUUUUAUUAUAUUAUAGAAAUUUAUUUUUUAUUCAUAUUUUAUAUCUGGUCUACGGCGCAAUUGACGCGUCGAAAAUUUGUAUUGAGUGUGUGACAUGUUCUUAUUGGCUAGGGACUAUAAUGCAGGAUCGACUCCUCCACAAGCUACCUUUAUGAUGUGGCUGAACCGUCAAAUUAUAUAUUCUAUAUAAUAUGGCAGAAGUUAUAUAGGUAGAAAACUACAUGUCGCGCGUUCACAUCAAAUGCCUUUUUUGGGCCUCUUUUAGUUCUAUUAUUUCUUUGGUAUUUUUCAUAAAUAAAAUUUUAUUAUGGUGUUAGAUGUACCCUUGCACUGUCACUGUCGUCGUUCAUGACCAUGUCCAUGAUCGUAUUUUUUGCCAUAGUCUCACCUCCACAAUCUGUGCCAUAUCUAAAUUGGCGUUGGCGAAGGUGUGCACGAGGUACGAGAGAGGAGCACGACAUCAAUGUAGGAGGCGGUGGAGGGAAGAGGAGAGAGAAGAGAAAGCAGAAGGAAAAAGGAGAAGAUGGAACGACGAGGAGGGAGACGAACAGGAAAGAAAAAAUAAGAGAACAAAAAAAGAAAGGGACAAAAAGGAAUAAAAAUAUUUUGAUUAAUUUUUAAAACAUCGAGUUGAAUCUGUAAAAUUAAAAAAAGUAGCUUCUUUUUGCAAAAAAUAUAAAGCCGGUAAAUUUUUUAUGCAAAAAAUCUUUAUUGCAACUAAGUCUUAUAAUUCAAUUUAGUUAAUUAAAUAUUGACUUGCUACUAAUAUGGAAGCAACGCCAUAGAAUUAUACUUGACGAAACAAUAAUAAUUAUAAUGCCACUUUACUUUCCAAUCAGCGAACCCGUCAACAUUUAGGGGUCGUUUGAUUCGAUAUAGUUACAUAAAUAGUGUGGUUGGAAAUACAUGUAGUUGCAAAUGCCGCAGUUAUAACUAUACCUAGUCUUUUUGGUUUUAUACAGUUGCAAUUAUUACAGUUACAUUUUUCUGUUUGGCAAGCUGCAAUUGAAAUUUGUAUUUAUAAAUUCUAUCAAUUUUUAGAUAGAAAUAUGAAAUUAUCUCUUCUAAAUAUAAUAUAAUCAUGAAAUCUUUUAAUUAUUAAUUAAGACUUUUAUAUCUAUAUAUAAUUUAUAUAUUAUAAAAUUAUGUAUGAAUUUAAUGAAUUUUAAAUGCAAACAUAUUAUAGAUUUGACCAAAAUAAAAACAUUAUUGAACUAGCAGACUGAUAAAAAAGGAACCGUAUAAAAUAAAUUUAUUGAACCCUAGCAGAUUUCAUAAAUAGGUAUUUCUUGAAAAAAGAAGUUAAAAAAAAAAAAAGAAAAAAGCGUAUGAAAAAAAAUCAUACUUCAUUUAUUUUUUUAAUGGGUGAGCCGACUCCGGCCCAACUGUUGCAGUUGGGCCUUCUCGUGCAGAUGUAAUUUUAGCAGUAGACGCUAACUACACCAAACCAAAUAAAAAUUUAAUAGAUGCACGCAUUUUCAAAAUGCAUGCAAUCAAACAGCUCCUUAGUCAUUUAAAUUGGAUUGUAAAAUUUAAUUGUGAUAAUUUUUAAAGUUUGAAUAAAAAAUUAUAACAAAUUAAAAUUUGACGUCGAAUGAGUCACCCGCCUAAUAGCUUGAGGACCAAAACUUUUAUUUAGCCAAAGUCCAACAAGCCCAAACAAUAAACUCAAAGCCCAAAUCAAAUGGGCCAAAGUAGCCCAUUGUAAAUCCAAGUGUUUUUAGGUAAUAAAAAAAUAAAAAAAUAAAAAAGAAACAAUUGCCAACGGAACUAUUAUUUAAAAGUUAUUAAAUUUAGAAAAAUGUUCAACUUAACAAAUAAGAAAACCUUCAAGAAAACUAACAAAAGUUGAGGGUGUAAAUUGAGGAAAUAAAGUUGAGAAGUAUACUUCAAAAUUUUGUACAAUUGAGGGGGCCUCAGUACAUUUUUUUGCUCUUUCUAUUUUGCCCUUUUGAUUUGAUUUAUAAUUUAGUGCGCGUUUGGCUUAUAUUCUUGAAAGUGAUUUUGGAGCCAAAAAUUAAUUUUCUUCCAAUAAAGUAUACGAAAAUUUUUUUAAGAAAAACCUAAUUCUGAUUUUAACGAUCAGUUUUCUGAAUUUUAGAGGCCUAAAAACAGAAGCAUUUAAAAACAACAUUUACUCAAAAUAAAUUCUGCAAAAAAUUUAUUAAUUUUGCAUUUUUGUGAAAUCGGAGUUUUUUAUUUAAAAAAAAAAAUUUACAGAUUUGCGUCGAAUCUUUUAGAAACUGACCAAAAUAUUUUUAUUCUCUCCUCUCGUGCUUGCAUGUCAUAAGCAUGCUUCUCCCCUACCUCGUCUAUGUCUCUACAUCUCCGCUGUUGUCGACGGUGACGACGUAAGCUCGAAUGCGACACAUACUGUGGAGGUGAGGGCGUGAGUAGCGGCGGGACGCAGUGGGGUGCCGGAGCUAGAGGAGGAGGAGGAGAACGGAAAAGCAAAAAGGCGAAUAUAGAGGAAAGGAACUUCAAUGUUCUCUUUCUCCGUUUUUUUUUUUUAAUAUUUUUUAUUCUUUCUCCGUUAAAAAGAAUAAAAUAAAAUAUUAUACUAUUUGACCAUAUGCUAUGCUAAUUAAUUAGUGAACUGACCGUGAAAUAGUGUAAUAAAUUGUUUCGAUUUCAACUACUUAGGGUAAAAUACACUUUUGGUCUUCAAACUAUGAGUCGCAUGAUAUUUUGGUAUUCAAAAUUUAAUUUAUUAUAAUUUUUUAUACCAAAAUUUAAAUUUAUCACAACUAAAUCGUACAAUUCAAUUUGGUUGGUUGAAUAUUGACAAAUUAUUUACGUACAUAUGAUGUAGCACAAUCCAAUUUUGAGUUUCGGAUUUUUAGUCGGAUUUGAUUUUGAAUAUGAAUUCAAAACACAUUGGGUUUGGAUUUUGAUUUGGAUUUUGAGUUUGAUGGUCAGGUUUGGAUUCGAAUAUUUUAAUAUUCGUCUCGAAUCUAACACGGUCAAAAUUAAUCAGCAUGCAAGGUACAUAAUUUUCUUUUCACGAGUAAUUUUCAAAAGAAUAUUUGAGAAUAAUCAUGAUAUUAAUCCUAAAUAUUUUCAUAGUUUUUUAAGGAAUCGGUUAAAAUCCAAUCAAAUCACCAUAUGAAAAAAAAAAAAAAUAAAAGUUCAACUUUGAAAUUACCCCUUUGAUUUUUUUUAGUGGAUUUUUUUAAUAAAUUUUUCAAUCCACCAUGUGGGCAAAUCAUUUAUUAAAGUUUUCUCCACAGUAUUAGUAGAAUUUUAAUUAGUAUGUGAUUAGUUUUUACUGUGAAACUCCAUUUCCUUUUCUUAAAUAUCAUAUGAAGAUCUUAAUUAACUUCGGCCAAUUUGCAUAAAAAAUUCAUUAGUUUUCAGCUUUUGUAAAAAUGGGCCGCCAAUUUGGAUUUUGCAAAUUCGGAUCGAAUUUUCAAAAAACUGACCAAAAUACGCUCAUUCUUUUUUCUCUCUUCCCUUUCUUUUCUCUAGUUGUUUUUUUUUCUCUCUCUCUGAAGAAGGUGGUGGAGGUGGAGACAGAGGCGGAGACGGAGGCGGCCUGCCUUGUCUCUGUCCUUCGCCCGCGCACCAUCGCUCCGCCCUCUCCCUCGCCUGCGCACCAUCGCUCCGCCUUCCUCGCCUCCGAUCCCGCCGAGGCCCGCACCUCAACUCUCGUUUUUUUUUUUUUUUCAGCCCUCCAGGACGCCUCCUCACCAGCCUCCGAUGCUAUUUACAAUAGUAAAGUGAGCAGCACAACGAUACUCUUCCUCUCACUUUUUUUUCUCAUCGAUUUCUUUUUUUUUUUUUUUCUUUCAAUCCCCUUUACCACCUUCGCGACCCUCUACGCCGGUAAUGAGGACAGCGCCUAUCCACCUCCUCUGCCUUCGCCAGCAGAGGCACCGACAACGAUGCCGAAGAAAGAGGACUCGAAGUAAAUGCAGAUAAGAGCGGAGCCAAAGAAAAAAUAUGUAUAAAAUAAAAAAAUAAAUAGAAUAAGAAUAAAAUAUAAAAAAAUAUUUUUUGUACAAAACAAAAUAAAGAAUCAGAGAAAAAAAAAGAAGAUGAUGAAUAUACACUAUUUCAGAAAACUGUUGCACUAUUUCAAAGAAACGUUGCCUUAUAUUUUUAGAAAAUAUACCCUCUUUGAGAGAACAAAAAAUACUUUCUGAAUAAAAAUUGUACUCUUUGAACGAAAGUUACAUUUUUUGAAUGAAAAUUAUACUAUUUGGCCGAAAAUUGCACUAUUUCAAUAGAAAUAGAAAGAGGAGAAGGAGAAGAAAUAGAUAAUUUUUAUCCAAAUAGUGCACUUUUGGUUCAAAUAGUGCAAUUUUAAUUCAAAAAAUACAGCUUGCAUGUAAAAAAUAUAUUUUUUUCUCAAUGAGUAUAAAUUUUCUCUAAAACAGUGCAACGUCUUCCUAAAGCAGUGCAACUUUCUCCUAGAGUAGUGCAACAUUCUUCUUAGUGCAAAUUCAUUAUCUUAUUCUUUUCUAUUUGAUUUUUCAUUUUUCUCGUAGAAAUUUUUUUUUAUAUUUUUUAUUUUCUGCAUUAUUUUUUUUCGUCUCCGCUCUCACCUGCAUUUGCUCCGAAUCAUCCUUCUCCGGCACUAGCGUUGGUGCCUGCGACAGCGAAGGUGAAAGAGAGGAUGUGGCCCUGUUCUCGUUAUCGUCGUGGAGGGUUGCGGAGGCAGUAGAGGGGGAUGAAGAAAAAAAAAAACGAGAGAAAAAAAGAAGAGGAAGAGUACAUGACGCUGCCAUCUUUAGUAUUGUAAAGAGUUGGGAAAGCAGUGGAGGAGCGUUGGAGAGAAAAAAAAAAGAAAAAAUAAUCGAGACGCGGCCUCGAUAGGGUCGGAGACGAGAAAGGUGAAGAGAGGGUGCGCGGGCGAGGGCCUGCGAGAUAAGCGAGGUGAGCCACCUCCGCUUCCGCCGCCCUCUUCGGAGAGAGAAAAAAAAAAGAAUGAGAGAAAAAAAAAAAAAAAAGAGGAGAAAAAAAAAGAGGGAGAGAAAAGGGAAUAAGGAUAUCCGACUCGAAUCUGUAAAAUCUAAAAAAAUGACCUAUCUUGCAAAAGCUGAAAAUUAAUAAUUUUUUUAUGAAAAUUGGCCACUAACUUCAAAACACCUUUUUCUUUCCCAAAAAUUUAAACAAAAAAUUCCAAAAAAUUCUAGAACAAGAUGAGUUUGAAUAUCUUUUUAUCUUCAAUUGAAUAUCUUCUAAAAUUAAGGCUAACUUACAAAAAAAGCUCUUUGUCCAUUUUAGUCGUCGUUUCAAGUUAUCAGCAUCAGCAUAAAAAAUUACAUUAAUUAUCAUUCUAUAUUUCAAAAUCGAUUUUGAAAUAUAGUUAGUGAAUUUGGUUGCGAAGCUUCGCCAAAGUACAUUGGUAUAUCUCAUAAUUUUAUAUCUCUAUAUUUAUCUAAUUUGUAACUUAAAAACUAGAUUGAAAAAUUAGAUAAAAGAGAUUCUUAUUUUGUUAAUACUAUUAUGAUAGUUUUUGAGCAACUUUAUUCAAUUUAUAUGAUUACAAUUCAUUAGAUGUAAUUAAUUCUAUCUGUAAAUUUGUUUCUUAUUUCAUUUGGUUCGGGUAUAAAUAAGAACUAUCUAUUUUAGGGAUAUAUAUAAGUUCAGGUAUAAACCUGAAACAAAUCAAUUUUGCGUUUGAAUAAAAAUUAAGUUGUUUAUGAAAUAAGAAAAAUAACGUUUGCAUAGAUAAGAUAGAAUAAGAAUAAUAGUGGAUAGUUAUAAAUAAAAAAAAAUAAUAUUGCCCUUUAUAUUAUAUUUGAAUUUAAAANAAAAAAAAAAAAAAAAGAGGAGAAAAAAAAAGAGGGAGAGAAAAGGGAAUAAGGAUAUCCGACUCGAAUCUGUAAAAUCUAAAAAAAUGACCUAUCUUGCAAAAGCUGAAAAUUAAUAAUUUUUUUAUGAAAAUUGGCCACUAACUUCAAAACACCUUUUUCUUUCCCAAAAAUUUAAACAAAAAAUUCCAAAAAAUUCUAGAACAAGAUGAGUUUGAAUAUCUUUUUAUCUUCAAUUGAAUAUCUUCUAAAAUUAAGGCUAACUUACAAAAAAAGCUCUUUGUCCAUUUUAGUCGUCGUUUCAAGUUAUCAGCAUCAGCAUAAAAAAUUACAUUAAUUAUCAUUCUAUAUUUCAAAAUCGAUUUUGAAAUAUAGUUAGUGAAUUUGGUUGCGAAGCUUCGCCAAAGUACAUUGGUAUAUCUCAUAAUUUUAUAUCUCUAUAUUUAUCUAAUUUGUAACUUAAAAACUAGAUUGAAAAAUUAGAUAAAAGAGAUUCUUAUUUUGUUAAUACUAUUAUGAUAGUUUUUGAGCAACUUUAUUCAAUUUAUAUGAUUACAAUUCAUUAGAUGUAAUUAAUUCUAUCUGUAAAUUUGUUUCUUAUUUCAUUUGGUUCGGGUAUAAGUAAGAACUAUCUAUUUUAGGGAUAUAUAUAAGUUCAGGUAUAAACCUGAAACAAAUCAAUUUUGCGUUUGAAUAAAAAUUAAGUUGUUUAUGAAAUAAGAAAAAUAACGUUUGCAUAGAUAAGAUAGAAUAAGAAUAAUAGUGGAUAGUUAUAAAUAAAAAAAAAUAAUAUUGCCCUUUAUAUUAUAUUUGAAUUUAAAAUUUAAAAUUUUAUAUUUAAAUUAAAUUUAAAUAUAUAAUUUUAAAUUUUAAAAUUUUAAAUUUUAAAUCUCAAAUUCAAAAAUUCAAAGUUAUAAAUUUUAAAUUUUAAAAAUUUAAAAUAUCUAUUAAAAUUUAAAAUUUAAAAUAUAAAAUAAUAAAAUUUUAAUUUGAAGAUUACAAAUUAUAAAUUUUUAAAAUUAAAUUUUUAAAAAUUAAAUAGGGUUGCGAACAGUUUUUUCACCCCUAUUCCCACACAAGCGGUGGGAUCUCCCAACCAAACGGUAUCAUAAAGUUUUCGACUGAAUUCAAUAAUAAUUCUAAAAUUUUGAAUUUAUUUUAGAGGUAAUUUUUAAUAAAAUUUUGAAUUUAUUUGAGAGGUAAUUUUUAAUGCUAGGAAUAAUCGACACCGGAGAUUUUUUUACUUUAGCGUAAAAUAGAGGCUUUAAAAAUUAUAUUUACUCCUACUUAGUUUGAUCUAUAAUUAAUCUAUAUUUAAUUUGAAAGAGUAUAAAUAAUUUCUAAAAGAAUGUUAAAAUGCAUGAAUUAUUAUUUAUAGAGAAUGAAUUAUUCUUGUACAGUUUACGGUCAAUGUCACUUAUGUCAACACGUGGCUCUUUGUAGGUCAUAUAUUUUCCAAUUAAAAAAUAAUUUAGGGAGGUAUUAAAUUUACACAAAUACCGGAACGGCUGCGUUUGGUUUUAGAACUAAAUUUUAGAGAACAAUUUUUAUUAUUUUCGAGAAUAAGGAAUAUUCCGGUACAAGACAAAAAAAUUGUAAAUUUGUGUUUGGAUAUAUUCGGGAAUAUUCUAGAGGAUAUUUUUAAUAGCAUUUGGAUAUAAACUGUAGAACAAUAUCUAAAAAUNAUAUUUUUAAAAAUAAAAUAAUUAAUUAUAUAUAUAAUACUUAAUAUAAAAUAAAAUAAUUAAAUAUUAAUAUAUAAAUGAUAAAACUUAAUAAAAUAAAUAAUACAUCAAAUUUCAUUAAUUUAUAUUAUACAAUAAAAUUUAAGUAUAAAUAUAUUAUCAUAAAAAUAAUAUUUAUAUUAAUAUAUUUAUUUAUAUAUCUAUUUAUCCAAUAAAAUAAAGAGAAGAAUAAAAUUGCACUCAUUUUUUCUAGGAACAAUUUUUAACGGGAAAACAAUUCAAAACAAUCCACUUUGAUCGAAACAAUCUGUUCUGUCCUUUUCUUUUAUCGUUUGGUUAUAAAUUGGGGAUAUCUUGGAUUGUUCUGGAAUAUCCCGGUACCAAACGCAGUCUCUCUUAGUCUAAAUAAGUAAGAGUACAUAAAAGCUUGUUAUUUG